rnacentral:lncRNA from 1 species
GUGUUGUGUGUGACUCCUGUCGAGUUCGGUAUUUACUAUGCCGUGGGUGUAGAGUGAGAGGGACCAGUGUCUUAUUUAUUGUAUUUGUAUUUUCUGGGACUCUCCUCUGCCCUGUUAUACAAUGUCGUUUUUUGCUAUUUUAUCAAUCCUUUGGGGAUCACUUUCUUAAUCUUUUUGCCCCUCGAUUUUACCUAGCUGAAAUUUCAUCAGAUGAGCAAAUCUGUUUCAUUUACUACUAUUUUUGUUGUUCAUCCUUGUAUAUUACAAAAAAAGAGAGAGGAACGAUGCAAUCUGUGUGUAUAUGUUAGUUCAAUGAUGUUAGUUUCAACGAAACCAAGGAUUACUUAAUGUUAUUGCUUGGUUGACGCUCUUUGUGUUUUGUAUAACCAAAAAAACAAGCUUAUAAAUACCAUUAAUGUCAAUUAAUGUUUUUUAACAUAUAUCUUCCGUAAGAAAUAAAUUUACUUGAGAUAAAUAUCGAGAUUCAAAACUAGAGUAAGACUAAUUGGUCUAUAUAAAAUACCUUUUUUUAAGUUCUUUAAAGAUUUUUUUUAUUUUAAUCAUGUGAAAUUUAGAAUCUUUGGUUUUAGUUUUUAUUGUCAAAUAACAGUAUUAAUAGAUUAUGUAAUAGUGUUAUUGACGAUAUAUUAUUUUCUCACGUCAUAACUAAAUAAGGAUUAAAAAACAUAAUUUAACAUAAAAAAUUACAUGCAAUUGAUGGUCAAACUCUUCAUUAAUGAGUUAGAAAACAUUGUUACUAUAUCAUUGCUUGAUAACAGAUUAAAACAAAAAGAAUCACAAGGAUUAGAGUAAAAAAAAAUAUUUAAAUGACUAAAAUAAAAUAAACAAAUAAAUUGUUAUUCAAAUAACUUGAAAUUAGAUUACAACUACCAACAAGCAGUUAAUUUGAGUGUUAAUAAAUUUAAUUUUUUUAAGUAAGAUUUUGAGUUGAAAUCUUGUGAAUAAGAAAUGUAUUUAAAAGAAAAAAAAAUCAUUAAAAAUGAGCAUACAAAUUUUGCAAUGAAAAUUAAUAAUGAAUAUUCCGUAAUAAUAUGAUAACAAAAAAUAGAUGACAACUAUAAUGCACCAGCUUAUUAGGUGGUCUAUGGUGAACCACUUUUAUCUGCCAUUGGAUUCAUAAGAUGGCUAAAAUAAUCCGUUUGUUGUCCAAUUGGAAGGUUUACUUGUAGUGGGGGUCUAAAGUAUUAUUAUAAGCCGUUGAUUAGAGGAAUAGUGAUGGGUCAAAGUGAAACCACAAGUAGUAUUAGAAUUCCAGAAAGAAGCGCCGCCUUUAUUCAAUGUAUAAAGACCGAAUCAAUUCCAGCCUCCAACUUUUUAAUAUAAUAUUCCUUCCUACAAUACUACUUUCUCCUUUGCAUGCCAACUCAUUGCAUUUCCAAACGUAAUCGCUUACCAACGCAACACAAGUCGCCCCUUCUCUAUUUUAGAAUUAAAAAAACAAUAAUAAAAUAAAUGCUUCAAUAUAAUUUUAUUUCUCUUAUUUUAAUUAAUUUGUAAUUUGAUCCCUCCAAAUCAAAAUUAAGACAUUUAAUCCUAUUGUUUUAAAAAAAUCUACAAUUAUAGUUCUUCCAUUUUAAGAUAUAAACAUUUAGUUGUUUUAUUUUAAAAAAUCUAUAAUUUUGAUCAAAUUUUUAAUUCUAUUUAUAUUUUUUUAUCUAAUUGAAUCUUAAACAUAAUAUAUUUAUUUAACGUAGCAUUAAUAAAUGAUUUAAUCAAUUAAAAAAUAAGAAAUAAAACUUAGGUCAAAUUAAAAAUUAAACUAAAAUUAUAGAUUUUCUAAAAUACGAAAACAAAAAUUGUGAAUUUUAAAAAAUGCUAGGACCAAAUGUUUAUAUUUUGAAAUAAGGGAAUUAAAAUUGAGAAUUUUUUAAAAUAGGAUAACUAAAUACUCAAUUUUUAAAUGAAAGAAUCAAAAUUUCAAAUCGAAUAAAUAUAGAAAGAUUAAAAUUACAUUUAGGCUUAAACUAAAAUGAACCUUUAAUUUAUUCAUACAAUUAAUCAAUUAUAUUCCCUUGUUGUUCAUUUAAAAUAUUUUCUUUGGUGAAGAAGUUAAUGCAACAAAAUAUUAUAAGCAUAAAUUAGAGAAUAAAGAGAAUUAUUAUUAUUGUUAUCAUCAUGAAAAAUAUAAGAGAAAUCAAGUAAUUGGAUAUAAGUGUUAAAAUUAAGGUUGAAUUAUCUAGAUAAUUUUUAAAUUUAAUCAUUGACAAAAUAAUUAUUGAUUAGACUUUACUUAUCUUUAAAUCAUACUCUCAUAUAGUCAGAAUUUCUCUCAUGAUUAACAAGAAGGCUAAGAGAAAAAAUAAAAAUCAAAAGAGAACAUUGAAUAUAUAAAGAAACAAAAAAAGAGUUCAAAAAUUCAAAUUGUCGUGUAACUUUAACCAUUAUUACAUUAUUCAAUAAUUUUUAACUAAAUAAUAUUUUUUUAAAAACUUACCAUUAGAUUUAAAGUUUAUUUCACAAAAAUUACUUAUACAAAAAUUUGUAUUAAUCUAAAAUCAUUGUUAUCUCAUUCAUAUAGAUUAACAUAUAAUAUAAAUAUUUUAAAAUAUAUUAAAAUAUAAAUAAUUUGAUUAUUUUAUUGUUAUUUAAUUUGAUUUUAUAUAUAUAUAAGGAUGGGUCAUGGGUGGCAAGAAGGAGACACGAACAAGGGUGUGUUCUGAGUCAGCUUCGGCAACGGUUCCUAGCGGCAGCACCAAACAAGUCGAGUCGACGCAAGCUGCAUUGCUUUCUCAAUAUAAAUAAGUUUAAUUCGAGACGUCAUCUUACUCUCACCUGAAAACCAUUCAUUCAUUGAUCAAACUCCCAAAACAAUGGCUUCUUUCAAUCUCUCUUAUUCUUCCUCACCAGCCCUCUCAUGUCCUCGGUCAGUCUCUUUUUCCUCACAUCUUGUUGCUUGCUAUACACUGCCAAUAUCUGUUUUUUUAUUUAUUCAACUUUUUUUUUCUCUCUAUGAGAUAGAGUGUUGCAUUUUCAUUUCUGGGAUCCAUUAUCAAAAACCUUUUUGGCUGUAUCAUGCUUCUUUGAUCCACAAUUUUAUGCAAGAUCCCUCUUUUUGUGUUGAUUUUUAAAUGGGCUCUUUAUAAAACCAUGCUGCUGACAGAACCUUUUCCAGUGAUACAGAAAUAUAAUGGAUAUUAUAUUUCUUUCUACCUCUCUUCUUCUUGUGUGAAAUGAUUAUUUCAAAUUUCAGUAUAAAAUAUGUUAGGAAUCGCUUCUCUGCUUGUUUGAUUUUAAUUUAGUCUCGGUCAAAUUAUGGACAACCACUUUGUUUUUGUAUCAAAAUGUUUAUCUUUAUUGUCAUUCUAAGUUAUAUGCUCAAGCAUUUUAGCUGCAUAGACCACAGAGCUGCUCAUCAUGUGCUAAACUUUGGAAUUUAGUUUACUCCCCCUCUCUUUUUUUUGUCUUUGGAUGUCACUGUUGUUAAGUUAAUCUUUGUUGUGUUCUUAUUUAUAUUCAAUGCAGGGCGAGCAAACAAUUCAAAUUAUUCAAUGAUGUGCCUUUUGUCCGAAUGAAUUCUAAAUUUCCCUCAAGUGACAAUGCUAUUGGGAGAAUUAAAGCUAAGUUGAUCUCUGGAGGGGGUGAUCUACUUUCCUAUCCAAAUGGCAAUGGCAUUGUGAUAGGUAAAAAUCUGGUUGGUGAUGAAUCUGUUCGAAUUGAGGUACAGCCGAAUAGAACACUGGCAGCAGACACAGGGCUAACAAGCAAUGUUUUCUCUAUUGACAACGAUGAAUUUGAUUUGGACAGCCCCACAGCAGGUUUUGCUUCCAUUUCUGAGGCAAUUGAAGACAUUCGCCAGGGAAAGGUAGCUACUCUCUCAGUAAAACUGUUUUUUCCCCUAUUUUAUAAUUAGCAUUUGAGAAUUGUGUAUUGCUGAAGUUCUUAUUUUGUUCCAGUAUCAUGAUUGCAUGAAGAUAUAUUACUGCUAUUAACUGAUAUUGAUAUCAAUGAUGCAGAUGGUAGUGGUUGUGGACGAUGAAGAUCGAGAAAAUGAAGGAGACUUGAUAAUGGCAGCACAGUUGGCAACACCCGAGGCAAUGGCUUUUAUUGUAAAACAUGGAACUGGUAUAGUUUGUGUAAGCAUGAAAGAGGAAGAUCUGGAUAGAUUGGAACUUCCUUUGAUGGUGAAUAGUAAGGCUAAUGAUGAGAAACUUCGUACAGCAUUUACUGUGACAGUGGUAUGUACUACUUUUCUUCCAUGAAUCAUCACAUGUGGAGUUAGUGCAAUAUCUUUCUGAAGGUCUUCCAUUGUUAUCAAUCUGCAUAUAUACAAUUUGGGUUCUCUAGGUCUAGACCAACUUUUGCUAUAAUCAAAGGGGACCGACUAUCCCCUAGAAAGGUGCAAACACAGUUUUAUAAAGAUCAAACAUUUGUCUUGAUAUUUGCAAAUCACUUAUCACCUUCUAUAAAUAGAAGAAUCCAAAGUUUGAGGGUAAGAGACAAGGAAAUAAUUGUAAUUCUCAAAAGAGAGAAAAGAAAAAGAGAUACCUCUGAUGAUGAACAUAGUUUGAAAGACAACUUUGUACUGUUAUCCAACUAUAUAGUGGAGAUUAUUUUUUUGGAUUAAGUAUUGUAAUUUUUCCUUCUCAUAUUUAGGUGUUUUCCUUGUUAAAAUUCCACCCUGUUAUCUCUUUUAUUUCUUGGUUUUCAUCUUCAUUUAGCGUCCAUUUUAAGUCACACAAGGGAGGAACACUUUUUUAUCAUCUUAAAUCAUCUGUAUACUCAGAUAGACCUGUGUUGCAAACAACUUGAUACAUUUCAAUAAUUUAAUAUGCAUUUGUAGGAUGCUAAACAUGGUACAACCACUGGGGUGUCAGCUCACGAUAGGGCAACAACAGUCUUGGCCCUUGCGUCUAGAGAUUCUACUCCAGGCGAUUUCAACCGGCCAGGCCAUAUUUUCCCACUAAAAUACAGGGAAGGUGGUGUCUUGAAGAGAGCUGGACAUACAGAAGCUUCUGCUGAUCUUGCUGUACUUGCUGGCUUGGAUCCAGUGGCAGUUCUGUGUGAGAUUGUAGAUGAUGAUGGUUCCAUGGCUAGACUGCCAAAGCUUCGCCAGUUUGCAGAGCGUGAAAAUUUAAAAAUUGUAUCUAUUGCUGACUUAAUAAGGUAUGCAGUUACAAUUCAUGGACCAUGUAAUAAAAUUCAUUGCAUGCAUAUUUAUGUUUAGACUCUGCUUUAGUGCAGAUACUAUACUUUUUUAUGUUUAAGUAGUGUUAAAUAUAUUAAAUGAGUUUGAUAUAGGUGUAAUUUAUAAGCCUGAAUCCUGAAUACAUAAUAGAACUAACUUGGAUUCUGUGGUGCUUUUUGUCGUUUGAAUCAGUCAAACAUAAUGAUUGUUUUAUUAAAUAUUCUUUUGGUGAACCUUUUACUGAUUAUAUAAAUUUGUAUAUUAUUAAGAAAAUGGAAAGCUUUUUUAUUUCGAAAAAUCUUCCAUUUGAUAAAUUCUAAGUGCUUAUUUAAUUCUUAUCCAUUAUUUUUCUUCAUGGUUUUUGCUACUUGGGUAACUUGUUGCUUAUUUAAUUAUAUAUAGCAAGGAGAUUAACUCUUAUUGUUAUGGCAGAUAUAGAAGAAAAAGAGAUAAGUUAGUGGAUCGCUCUUCUGCUGCACGGAUACCUACAACGUGGGGACCAUUCACAGCUUACUGUUACAGAUCACUUUUAGAUGGGAUUGAGCAUAUUGCCAUGGUUAAGGUGAGCGGCGCUCAUGGUUAUAUAUGUUAUAACACUUGUGAACAUUUGUUAUAGUGGAAAUAUGUAAAAUAUGCUACAUUCAGAGUAAAUCACACCUUAUUUACCUAGGUUUUAGCUUACAUUUGAUUUCUGCAAAUGUGGUAUUGGCAAAAUGGGAAUGGUUCAAUAUCAUAUCAUCUCUCCUAGGUUACACUGUUUAGUCGUUUAUUUAUAGACAAAUCUUGACUUCGUGAGAGUGUCACUGUCAAUUUAAUUACCCAUUUAAUCUCUAUAGUUCCCAAACUUAUCCCUUUUAGUCCCUAUAGUUAAUAAGUGAAUUUUUUAACCCCUGAAGUUUACAUUUUAAUUUCCAAAAGGUCCCUAUUGUUAAAAUUCUUUAACUAACAGAAUUAAAAAAAUUUAAUGACAGAGACCUUUUGAGAAUUAAAAUGUAAAUUUCACGAACUAAAAAAUCCACUUAUUAACUAUAGAGACUAAAAAAGGGAUAAGUUUGAAAACUAUAAAGACUAAAUGGGUAAUUAAACCUUAACAUUAUUAUAGUAGCUUCUACUCUGUUAGAAAAUAAUUGAUAAAGCAGGCAAGGCUUUGGGAGGUUGAAAACAAUUUACCUCAUUUAAAAAAAUGCUGUUAUCUGACAUAUUUAAUACACUAUUCUGUUUUCUUUUCAAAAUUUGAGGUUCCAUUUCUUUAGGAUGGCCUGUUUCCAUAUUGUUUCACAUCAAGUGUUAUUUUAAUUAACAUUGACAUAGAUGGCCAUUUGGCCUCGCCAAUUUGAAACAUCAUAAAAUACCUGUUCCUUAUAUUUAUCAGAGUUAUUUCCAAGAAGCCUAGUUUUUCCUAUUGAUUUAAUCAAUGAGGGAAUUAACAGCUAAAGGUGUGCAUGAAUCAGCAUAAGUUAAGUUGAACAUCAAUCCAUUGUGAGUGUAGCAUUCAGUCGAACUUACAUUGGAAAGUGUGAUUUAAGUAAAACACACACAAAAUUGUUGCGGGAUGAAUGUGUUUAACUAAGCAGACAAAAUGUUUGAGCAUGAUAUGUUAAUAUGGUAGAGCAAUGUGAUUUACCAUUUAUGUUGAUGGGCAGCUUCUUCUGCAUUAUCAUAUACAAUUAGCAGGAUAACCUAUUUUUUCUGUUCUUGCAUCUCACUACUUUUUCUGUUUAGAAGGGAAGGUUGAUAUCGUCCAUUUUCUUUAAGGUUGUUAUAUAAGAGACAGGAUGAAAUGUGUGUUUUUGAAACCUUGCAUCCAUUCCUCAAUCCCUCAUCUGUUUCUUUGUUUACCUUCAAGAAUGGGUUCAUUAGUAAAUAGUGAGUAAACCUGACAAUGGGCUUGCAAACUUGGGCCUUGGCAAGCUUUUCCAAUUGUCUUGAAGCUUUCUUACUUCGAUUGAUUGGUUCAAUUGUCAACUUCAAACCAUUUUGUGGUUCUGACAUUUUUUAUUUAACAGGGUGACAUUGGAGACGGACAAGAUGUUCUUGUGAGAGUACACUCAGAGUGUCUGACAGGAGACAUAUUUGGAUCUGCCAGAUGUGACUGUGGAAAUCAGCUUGCACUUGCGAUGCAACAGAUUGAGGCUGCUGGUAGGGGUGUGCUGGUAUAUCUCCGUGGACACGAAGGAAGGGGCAUUGGAUUGGGUCACAAGCUUCGUGCUUAUAACCUACAGGACGAUGGACGAGAUACUGUUGAAGCCAAUGAGGAGUUGGGAUUGCCAGUUGACUCCAGGGAGUAUGGCAUUGGCGCACAGGUAUUAAUUAUAUCAGUAGUACUCACAUAGUAUUUGGCUUUUCUUUAAUAGAUGAUGAUUUACUAAAAUGGUUAUGGAAGUUAACUGGAAUGAUUUUUAUUGUAUUUGAAAUUCUCUACUCGCAGAUGUUGAGAGACUUGGGUGUACGAUCUAUGAAGCUGAUGACAAACAAUCCAGCAAAAUAUAUUGGGCUCAAAGGUUAUGGUUUGACAGUUUCGGGUAGGAUCCCAUUGUUAACUCUUAUCACUUCGGAGAACAAGAGAUAUUUAGAGACCAAACGUGUGAAAAUGGGUCACAUAUACGCCAUGGAAUUUAACGGCCAAUUGAGCACUCAUGACAGUGGUAAUGAUAAUGCCACCAGGGUUGAUGACUCUAAUACAGUUACUGGUUUAUAAACAUCCUUUUUAUAACUAGAUACCUGGGUCGGACACAUAUGAAGAACUAGAUUUCCAUACUGCUGAUGAAUACACAAAGUUAUAGAUUAUAGAAACCAUUAUUCUAUUUGUGAUUUGAUUUUUCUUAUUCAUUUGUCUGAUAAUCUUCAGGCAGGCAGGCUCUACCAAAAAUGUUCAUCUUGAUUCUUGAAACAUAGUGCCAUGACAAGGGCAUUGCUAUUUCAGGGUUAUUUUUUCUUUGGUGCCUUUUAGAGGUUCAUCAUUUCUGGACUCUGGAAGUCAUUGGCCCUAGUUUCUUCAUUCUUUUUGGUACAUUUACUCAUGUAUCACAGUUCCUCUAUAAUGUCCAUGAUAGAAAAGUUAUGAUUUGUAGCUCUACUGUGUAUUAUAAAUAAAUUCCUUUUGUACCUUGUCAUAGCUAAUGGUUAAUAUUGGUGGCUUGACGGUUAUAUUUUCCCAUAUGUAGUUAAUGAUCACUACGGAGCAAUUUUUUUUAGUACUCUUGGAGUAUGUGCCUCAUUUUCUUUAUGCUGUUUGCUAAAAGAAGAAAUAGAGUGAGGAAGAAAUAGAAGUUUGUUUGAAGAGAAAUAUAGUUAAAAUAAAAAGAAAAAUAUUUAAAUUAAAGUUCUUUGGCAAGUAAAAAUAAUAAUAAAUAAAUUUGGAGUAGAAAUAUUGUUUUUUUUUUGUCCUUAUAAAAAUACUUAUUUUCUUUUUAAAAAAAAAGAAAAUAGAACAAAUAUAUAUAUAUAUAUAUAUAUAUAUAUAUAUAUAUAUAUAUAUAUAUAUAUAUAGAAAUCUGUUAGUCUUUUUAUAGAACAAUACCUUAUUACACUUUUUUUUUUUACUAAAAUACCGUUAAUUUCUUUUCAAUUAGUCAAUAAACAAUGAUGUAAAUAGAUAUAAUAAAUUCUUUCUCUCUGUUUUGAAGAAUAAUAAGAGUGACUAUUAUUCUCUUUUUACAUAUUAAUUAAUUAGAUAGAAGGUAAUCAAGUGAAAUAUCUCAAAGGAGUGAGAUGAUGACUCUUGAUAAUUUUAAGAGUAUAUUUUAAAAAAUAAUAUAAAUUAUUAACAAGUUUUGGGUUAUCAUUUAUAAGUGUGUAAUAUCUAUUGAUUUUGUCAAUGAAAUAUGACAUUUGGUACAAGGAAACUUUGUUCGAGCACAGGAUCAUCAUUCUUAGGAAUCAUCCCGAGAAUCAUAGUUUUUAUGAAUGACUAAAUUUGUAUGGUUGUUAAUAAAUAUUUUCAUAUAAGUUUUUUGAGAAUAUAAAAUAAAAUAAUAUAUUUAUCAUAAUAUUUAAUUAGUUACCUCUUUAAAUAAUUUAACUAGAGUCUUGCUGUAAUUAAGCUUGUUUUUUAACUAGAUUCUGAUCUUCUCCAUGAGAAUAUUUUCAUGGAAAACAGUCAAAAAAAAUUCUAAUUUCUCAAAAAUGUUAUUUUUUAAAAAUCAAAUCAAACAUGAAAAACUAACCUUACCAACUUUCCUCUAUAAAAAAAAAAAUCCUCAACUUAAGAUCCCAGAAAAUUAAGAAUUUUCCCUUAUAUUUCAUUCCAACUAGUAUGUUUUUUUAUUUAUAAAACUUGAAUUUAAAAUAUAAUCCUACUUAAAUUUUUUAGCUCAAAUUACAUGCUAUUAACUAAAUUAUUCAUUUUUAAUAUCUAUGAAUUAGUUCAAAGGUCAUAUGCAUAUAUAUUAUAUAAGGACAAAAAUAAUAACAUUUAAAUAAUUUUUACCAAAGUUAAUAAAUGUUAGUUAUAUGUCAAUGCAUGAUGAUUAGAUCAUAAUUUAAAUUGUCUAAUUAAAUCUAAAAAUAUAAAUAAUACAUAUUAAUAUUGAAACAUCAAGUUGAAAAGAAAAAAAAAAUCUUAGUAUCUUAAAUACAAAAGUGGAACAGCAAUUAAAUGUCUUGAACAGUACAUUAGUAUUUUAUAUUCUGUUAGACUAUUAGCCUAAAUAAUAUUUUUUUUUAGAAAGGAUUAGAAACAAUAUAAAUGUAUUUUGAUUACAAAUGUGGAAUCUAUUUGUUCAAACUUUAAAAAGAUAUUAUGCAAUAUAUAUUUUUUGUUUUUCAAGAGCUUAAAUAAUCCUUAUAAUUUUUUAAAUAUGUUGUUUAGCAAAAAAAAAAAAGGUUUUUGAGAACUCUAGCAAACGAGUCUUCUGUGAGAAAUUUCAACCAAACACUUUUGGAUAACCUACUCAAAUUGCUCGACUUUCCAAAGUAUCCUGGUGCAGGUACAGAAACCUUAGUAACUCACGUAACCUUGUUUCCAAUAAAUGAGCCUGUAAUGUGUAUGCAUUAAUUUGCGUAAAUCAUGGGCUAAACGCGCUUAUUGAACAUGUACUCCAGUGUGGAACGCGUACAUGAGUUGGUGAACAAGUAUGAAUUUGUUUCUUCUUUUCUUAAACGAAUUCCGUUCAACGGCUAGUUCUUCCGGUACAACAACGUUACUGUAGUAGUCGAAGAAGAAAAGUGUUUACGCGGUCAACUCAGUAAUGUAUUGGUUUCCGUUUUCGACCGUUACCAGAUUCCCUAUAUCCAACGGUAACAGAUUCGGAGACAGAUGUUCCAUUAGCCCAACCGCGUCUCCCUCUUUACACGGUUACUUUACUUACCACACCACCCUUCUUUUUCUAUAAAUACCUUCUUUCUUCUCACAGAGUCUAACUCAAUAAUAGUCCCUUUUCUGAAAUUCUCCUAACUCUCUCUCUCUCUCAACAAUGGCUCGUACUUUUGUUCUUAUGUUGGUUGCUGCUGCUGCAUUGUUGUUGAGCUCCACGAUGGCUCAAUCUCCAGCUUCUUCGCCGGCUUUAUCACCGACCAACACGCCGGUGGCCACUCCACCGAGGAGGGCGUUGUCUCCGUCUCCUGUUCCUGCUGCGGUGCCACCGUCGUCUUCUCCUCCGGCUCCACCUACUUCUUCUCCUUCGGAGCCCCCAAUUGCAGCUGCUACUCCGAACAUCCCUCCCUCGACCAUCUCGACUCCACCAUCUGAAGCACCAGGACCAGCUGCAAACGGUGCCGUUUUCAACAGAGUUGGCGGAUCUGCUCUCAUUCUAAUCAUCGCUUCGGCCAUGCUCGUAUAGAACAAAUUCUGUGGGAUUAUUCAUGAAUACUUGAGUUUUUUGAACUCCAGUACUUUUUUUUCCUGGUGUCGUUGAAGACGAUUCAUUUAUUUUAAUUAUUUUAUUUAUUUAUUCAUUCAUAUGAUUGAUGCAUACACACAUAUGUAUAAUCUCUUUGCGAUUAUAACAUAUAUGAUAGAUGUGCAUUAGCAUUUGUCAUUUGUAACUAUUUAAUUAAUUAAUUAAUUGCUCGUAUUUUAAUACGAUUUCGAUUUUUCCCUCGUUCAGUUCGACCAAAACUGAUAAAGCUGGAACUUUCCUAUUUAAAUAAUUAUGCCUUAUUAGGGGUGUUCAAAUCUAACACAAUUCAAAAUCAAAAAUAAAAAAUCGAAGUCCAUAUAUUUUUUAGAUUUAUUUGGAUUGUUUUUGCUUAAAUCACAAGAUUUAUUAUACAUUUAUUAAUUAAGGCUUAAUUACAAAUCUAGUUUAUCUUCUCACGAAUGAAGAGGAGAGUAAAUUUGUAAUUAAGUCUUUAAUUAUAAUAGUUUGUUUAAGAAUACUUAAAAAAAAAGUGACACACUUAACUUUCAGUUAUUAAUAUAAUUUGUUUCGUUGCUCAAUUAAAUCAAUAUUUUCAUCCUUUGAUACAAAAAAACGUUUUUGAGAACUCUUUAAUUUAUUGCGUCAACAAAGUAAAAAGACAAACACAUAUUGAAGAUUCUCCAAAUAAUUUAUUUGUACUUUAUUGACAAAAUUGCAAAUUUGAUUUCCGUUUUAUCUUCAAUUUUAGAUUUUGUUUUCAAUAAAAUUAUUUAUAAAUAUUAUCCUCGUAUUUAUCCAAGUCACACUGACAUUGACCGUUACAAUAAUAAUGUUGACGGUCAAUCAUCCAUUAUUUUUUAUGGAGUUGACAUCCAAUCAACACAUGACACGUGACAAUCAUCAAGAGGGAUUAUCAUGUGUAACAGUCAUCAUCCAAUAAGAACGUGACACGUAUCAGUCGCAUUACUUUGAUGGUUGCAUUACUAUAUCUGAGGACUAACAUUGUGUGAUUUAAUUAAAUACGAUAACAAAAUUUGUAAAUAAUUUUAUCAGGGGACAAAAUACAAAAUUAAAGAUAAAAUGAAUAAUUAAAAAUGUAAUUUUACCUACUUUAUUCAAUAUGAAUAAAUUUCUUAAUAGUUGUUUACUUUUUUUUAUAUUAGACAAAAACUUAUCGUUUUGAUUGGAUUUAAUAUUAUAUUUAAAUCAAGUUAUUUAACUUUAGUAACUCUAAAAAAAACUUUAGUUGUAAUUCUUCAGUGUAAUCUAUUAGUAUAAGUUUUCUUUUAACUUUUACCCUUUAAACUUCACCACAAUCUUUAUUUUUAACUUGUAAAGCUUCAUUAUUAUUAGGCAAAUGAAAACCUCUGUACUCUUUAAAAUUACACAAGAACAGUUUUUAUAAUUAUUGAAUUUGAUUGACAGUUAUUUUUUUAUCUUUAAAUAUUAAUCGUUAAUUUGUUAAAAUAUAAGAGAGAUUUAAAUUCAUAAGUACUUAUUUUUUCUUGCUUCAAUACUUAAACUCCUCUUCUCAAUCAUCAAAUCAACUUAUAUCUUUUCAUAAUUGACAGAUUAUUUUUAAAAUAUGUUUAUUAUACCCUCAACUUGUGUCUUUAAACUUCAUUACAACUUUUAUUUUCAACACAAAUUAUUUAUUUAAGCAUAAAAAAUGCAAAUCAUUUAUUUAAUAUUAUUGUAAUUCCAAAAUUACCCUAAGAAUAAAACUUUAAGUACUAAACAAUUUUUAACUUUUAUAACUCUUCAAUUUCAUGACCAUUUACAAUUUAAUAUAAGCAAUUAAAUUUUACCGCAACUUUGCUUUUUAUUAUUUUAGUGCAACUCAUUUAUUUCAAAAGUAUCUAUGAACAGAAUUUCAUUACUUAAAAACUUUUAUAUAUAAGAUUUUAAAUCGUUUAAAAACCCAUCAAUAAAAAUAUUUAUUAAUAAUAUACCAAAUUUUAGGCUAAAUAAUACUGCAUACUGCAGUAUAGAAAAAAUCAUGGUAAUAAGGGAAUUUUAAUUUCAAAACAUGACAAAGGUUGAAAAUUGAAAUAAAAAAACAUAAUAUGAAAAAUUACAAAUAAUCCCCUACUUUCUAUUUUAUCUUAUUUUCUUCUGCUCUCUCUCUUUUUUUAGUGUAUCAUUUAUUACAUUUAUUACUUUCUUAAUCUUUUGUCUCUUCUUCUAUGUUUUUCCUCUCUCAAUUCCAUUCCACUUAAGAUGAAAUGAUGAAUGCACGCUUAUGAGGUCUUUAAUCGUAUUUAUCAGAAGCUGGAAUUAGUUUUAUGUAACAAAACGGAUAUUUUUCCUUCUUUUUUUUUUUUGGAAAAUGAUAGGAUCAGUGGGAGAUAUAAAAAUGCCUUACCACUGUAGAUAAAACAGAGAAUAGAAUACAAUGAACUACUACUAAUAAACAGAACCGUCAAAGUGUAAUUUGUCCUGAGAUGGACAGGAUCUCUUGAUGAACAUAAGGGCCACCAUGGAAGAUGAAUCAAAUCUUCCUCAAUCUUCUCAUUUCCAUCUUCCUUUUUGGAUUUUCCAAAAUCUUAGUCAUAACUCCCCAAAAUAAGAAUGGUAAAAAAGAGAAAGUUGUCUAAUGUAUGUACUAUCUAGCUUUGACACUCCAAUUCCUUCUUUAAUAAAAGGAAAAAAAACGCGGGUUAACAUUCACAUAGCUGUACCGUAAUUAACGCGUCAAUCAACAAUCACUUUCUACCAACUCAAAAAUUCUCCCCGUUCUUAAAUUUUAACUGUUUAAGGUUUUUAUUAUCAGAUUAAGAAAUAUUUAAUUUAUUACUUCAAAAUAUAUUUUAUAAAUAUUUAUAUUAAUUAUCAUUAUUCUAUUUAAAAAAUAAAAAAUAGCUUUUUGGAGAAACUAAAAUUUUAAUUAAUUUAAAAAUUAAUUUUAAUUAUGUAUAAACUAAUUUUAAUUUAUAAGAUUAAUUUAUUUCAUUUUUCUUCUUCUUUUUCUCUACUUAUUUAUGGAAAACUUAUUUAAACAUAAUGUUAUGCCAAUUUAUAAUUUGUGAAUGUAUGCAUACAUGAUUUUAAUGAUACCAAAGAAGAAUUAAACAAGACCGCUUCAAAAGGAUAAAGACUGCUUCAAGAUUAAUACAAGAAUGCUCCAACAAACAAAGCCUUGAUUCAAGAUUUUUUCAAGAUCAAGCUUUACCUCAAAACAAAGGGUUUUAAAGUCAUGCAAGGCUCUGGUAAUAUAACUGUUGAAAAGGGUUUUGAAUUUGAAUUUUGAACAUGUAAUCGAUUACCAUAUGUCUGUAAUCGAUUACUAGCAACGAAACUCCUAAAAUUCAAAUUCAAAAGUCAUGACCUUUCAAAAUAUAAUUAUGUAAUCGAUUACCAGUGAAGAAAUUCAGGAAAAGCUUUUUUGAAAAAACACAUCUCUUCAAACCAUUUUAAAAAUGCAUGAAGGGCCUAUAUAUAUGUAUGUGUCUGACUUCAAAAAAAAUGAAAGAGAUAUUCCAAGAGAACUUCAUUACCAAAUGCUCUCUCAAAAAAACUCUUUGACAAACACUUGCAAAUCCAUUAAGAGUUCAUCCAUGGACUUCAAUUGUAAUAUCCUUCUCUUCAAGAAAUAAUUUCUCUUCUUUCUUCCUAUACAAAGAGAUUGAUUAAGGGACCAAGGGUCUCUUAUAUUGGACAAGUGGUCUAAGAAAUUUUAAGAAGGGGGGAAGUUAAAUUAAGAUUUCGUUGAUUAUUCUUAAUUGAAAAUUUAUCUUUCUUAAAUAUUUCAUAUAUUCAAUUAUUUCUUUAAUUAUAAGUUACUCGAAUAAUAAAUAAGGAGAAAUAACUUUAAAGAAAUAUAAACACAACAGAAAAUAAAAGAGAUUAAGGAAAGAGAGAAUGUAAAACCAGAUUUAUACUGAUUUGGCCACAACCCGUGCCUACGUUCAGUUCUCAAGCAAAUUCCACUUGAGCGUUUUCACUAACCUUGUAAAAACCCUUUACAAACAAUGAACCACAAAGAACUUCCCUCCUUUGUGUUCAGUGUUUACACCAAGAGACAAUCUCACCUCUUGCAAUGAACCCUAAAGGACCUUCCUUCUUUGUGUUCAGUGAUUACACCAAGAGGCAAUCCCACCUCUUGCAAUGAACCCAAAGAACGUUAUUCCUUUAUGUCCAGUGAUUACACCAAGAAGCAAAUUUCACUUCUUGCAAUGAACCCUAAAAGACGUUAUUCCUAUGUGUCCAGUGAUUCAACCAAGUAGACCGUCUCUUGAAAACUUUUACAACCAAUAGUCGAUCUCUUGAAAAACUUUUUGUAAGAAUGGAGGAGAGGAAGAAAAUAGAAUAGCACAAGUUUUCGUCCAAUGAACUUUUCUUGAUAAAGAAAGUGUUGAACAAAAAACUCUUAGAAAGAAGUUGAGAAAUCUAUUUUAGAAAUUCGUGUCAUAGUCACAUAUUUAUAGUCAUUUGAUGGCUCUUGAAGAAACCAUGUUAAAAGUUGUGACUUUUGGCAAUUUCUUCAAAACCAGUCACUUUAAAAGUUAUGACUCUUGGCAAUUUCUUCAAAAUCAUUCACUUUAAAAAUUGUGACUAUUGACAAUUUUUCAAAACCAGUCACUGGUAAUUGAUUACCAUAAUGGUGUAAUCAAUUAUUAUAAUGGUGUAAUCGAUUACACAAUUUAUUUUAUCAAAAGUUGUGACUUCAUGUUGAGGUUUGAAAUCCAACAUUCAAAAACCACCGAUUAUCGAUUACAAAUAUUGUGUAAUCGAUUACACUAUUUUAAAAAUAUUUUUGAACGUUAUAAGAUAAUGGUAAUCGAUUACUACUUUGUAAAUUAAUUAUAAAAUGUUUUGGGUUUCUGGUAAUCGAUUACUACCUUAUGGUAAUCGAUUACCAGAGAGUAAAAACUCUGGUAAAAGAUAUUUCUUGAAAAAUUCUCUUGGACAAUUUUUGUGUUGUUCAAUAUUUUUUUAAAUUUUUUUUUUAACUUACCUUGAUGCUUUUCUUGAGGCUUUUGCAUAUCUUGAGUCUUCUCUUGAAUCUUCUUGAUUCUUUAAUCUUGUUUGAACGAAUCUUUAAUAAUCUUUGGCAUCAUCAAAAUAAUCUUAAAAGUUUUGCUUCUACAUCUUAAGUUGUAAGGAAUUCCGAACACAAGAGAUGAGUUAUCUCUGUAUUGUUCAAACUUUGUAAAAGGGUUUUACAAAUAGAAAGAAAAAUCUCAAAUGGAUUGCUUGAGGACUAGAUGUAGGCAACGAAUUUUGCUGAACUAGUAUAAAAUUGUGUUUGCAUUCUCUCUUCCGUUAUCUCAUUUAUUUUGUUGCAAUCAAUUUUUUCUUGCAUGUUUAAAGAAUAUUAUCAAAUUGAUUGUUAUUUCUUCUGCAUACUGAGUAGUCUAUCUCAUUUAGAAGGGGAUUAAAAAUUUGUUAGUGUGAAAAUUAAUUCAUCCCUUUUUAAGAUAACUGAGACCACAUUUAUCGAACAUAAUUGUACCUACAAAGUCUAGUAAUUUAGUCCUUCCAUCAUAUAGUAUUCCUUUUUUUUAUAAAAAUAUCAACAAGAAAUGAUAUUAAUAUUUGACUAUAAAUAUUUUAUAUAAUAAAAGUUCUUAAUUGAUUUUCUUUAUUAUUCCACUAUAUAUAUGUUGAAAUUUUAAAAUAAGUUUUGAAAAAAAUAAUUGAAAUUAAAUGAGGGUUUUGGACAUUUCCGUAAAAAAAUAAAAGAACUGAAGGAAUAAUAAUGAUAAUAAGAUGGUCCACAGAAGGCCAGACUGGACUAGAGUUCCUUCUUCUCGUAGCCCCCAAAUCCUUACGGUUGUGGAUCCCCACAAAUUUCACACUUUCCUAUUUCUUGACUCGUCCCUCUUAGCUCAAUUCUUGCUUCCACGUGUACGGUGUUGAUUGAACCAAAAGCCCGUUUCUUUAUAGUGGACCUCCAACAUGAGCGAUCUCCACCCUCUGAUCUUCCGAUCUCUUUCUAUAAAUUCUAAGUGUCUGUCUCCUCAUUCUUCUCACGCACUCAUAGCUUCUUCCGUUGCAGCACUUUCACUGUAAUUUACAAUUUAUAUUCUCAACCUCUGAGAAUGGCAUUCUCUUCCACUCUACUUCUUCUGCUCGUGGCGAUGUUCGUCUUCUCUGCCGUCGCACAAUCUCCGGCGUCGUCUCCUGAGUUCGCUGCUGCUCCACCGAAAACCGCCACUCCCUCGCCUUCUUCGUCCAUGUCUCCACCCGCCGCUGCUCCUUCACCUUCAUCCUCCGUCGUGAGCUCUCCGCCGUCUCCUCCUACUUCAGUUCCGGCGUCUUCUCCGUCGCCUUCCAUCUCUCCGUCGUCGAUCUCUUCCCCUCCGUCCGAUGCCCCCGCACCGUCCGAGAAUGCCGCCGUCUCGAAUGGAUUCGCCGCUGUCGGAUCUGUCGUAGUCGGUCUCGUCGCCGCCGCAUCGAUCAUGUGAACCGCUACAUAGGCGUAUAUAGAAAAUUUAUUAUCUCCUAUAUAUUCUCCUUAUUUUUUUUUUACUUUUUUAUAGUUAUUAUUUUUUCAUUUAGAGUUUUAUAUCUGGAGAAUUUCGAGUUUGUAUAAGACAAGCGAUUUACCUUGUUAGUUUUUCAUUAAUUUCGUAAUAGUAUUCGCUAUUUGCCUGUUUGUUCAGUGAAAAUAAUUUCGUGUUAUCUUUCGUUAUUUAUUAUUAUGAUUUGUGAGAGAUUUGUGAUUAUGUUAUGAUUACUCGGAAGCCCUUGCUCCUCAUUGUUCUUUGAUUCAAGAUUCCUACGCUGCUGCUCUGAGCUAAAAUGAAAUAAAGGAAAAAGACUUCGUAUAACGAAUAAAAUUACAGAACGAAAAUAAUGAGUUUGAAAACAGAAGGAAAAACGUUCAUGUAAUUGUUUUUUAAAAGAAAAAUUGUAAAAUGGCAAUAAUGCAUUUUUUCUUUAUUGUGGACAUUGUUCUUUCAAUUUGCUUUUAAUCAUCUGUGUAUGAUUCUAUUUGCUUUUAUGUUAAAUGUUAAAUAUGAUAUACAAUAUGGACUGAGGAGUAUGCAGAGUAUGCUAUACCUAUACAAAUAUAUUCUUUCUUAAACUCAUGCACAUGGUCUUGUUGUGUCUUUAAAAUAAUAUGAUCCUAUUUUCUCUUAAUUUCGUUUGUAAUAGAAAGGUUUUUGUUAAGUAAUUUUUUAUUGUUAAAUAAUUUAAAAUUUGAUAUGCAUAAUCAUUAGAUUAAUAUUACAUGGUUUAUCAGCUUUAAUAAAAUUUAAAUUUCACAUAACGUUAUUGAAUUUAUUGUAUUAGGAUUUAUGGAUUAAAUUAAUAUAAAAUUUAACUGUUAAAAAUCAAUUUUUUUUAAAGUAAGGUAUCUCUCUAAUCGAGAGUCAUGAAAUUAAACGCUGAAAUAGAUUUUAUCUCUUCUAAUAAAAAAAUUUCGGUGCUAAAAUUGAUUCAAUUUCAUUUAACUUUAAGUUAAUAUAAAUUUCUAUACAUGUCAAAUGAACCUAUUUCUUUUUUAAAAAAAUUGGUGGUUUUUCAUUAAUAAUGACAAAGUUUAGGUUAUUUAUAUAUGGUCAACAUGAGAAUAAGUGUUAAAAUAAAAUAUUGAAUAAUAUCAUCUUUAUAGAAUAUUAAAUAAUAUCUCCAAAUUAUCCUAUUUUUUAAAUAUAUUAUUUUAUUUAUUAGGGGUUUGAUCCUCAGUUUUUGCAUAUAAAAAAUGUCAAUUAAGAGAACUCAACUCCUUCAAUAAAUUUUAGUAUCUCCUUCAAUCAAUUCUCGUUAGAGAUACCUCAAAUUCACAAAAGAAAAAAGAUAAAAAUCAGUUAAUAUCGUUCACUUUAUCAAUAAUUGAUUGAAAGGUAAUACCAAUAUUUAUUUUCACUCAAGCUAUAUUAAAUUAGUAUUUACUUCAUUUUUUGUUUAAAAAUCAAUUUAAACACAAUUUACAAAAUAUUGAUGAAAAUAAAAUAUUUUAUUGAACAAAAAAUUCAAUGAAAACUUGUUAUUCUAUUUUUAAAGAAAAAUUACAAAAAAAUUAAAUCAUAUAUAAGGGUGUUCGCAUAUUAGAUCGACUUUGAAAGAAAAAACAUUUGAUUCAAUUAUUUUAGUUUUGUUAAUUUAUCAUCUGAUAUAUUUAAUUUAAAAUUUAAAUCCAAUUCAAUCUAAUUCAAUUUAAAGUGGUUUGGAUUGAAUUAUUUUUAAUUUUAAUCUUUUUAUAGAAAAUAUUAAAUAAAAAAUAUAUAUAAUAAAAAUAAUUUUAAUACUACAUAUUUCAUUCUUCUGCCAUUAUAUAACAAAUAAUAAUAUACUUACAUGCAGAUAGUUAGUAAAAAAAAUAUAUUUUUUAUAACUAGGCAUAAAUUAAUUACAUGAUAGUUUUAUAAAUAUAUAAAAAAUAAAAAUAUAAAUGUGAAUGAUAUUAUAAAUUUAUGAAUAAAAAUAUACACAUACUUAGAAGUUGAGUUUGAAAUCCAAUCAAAUUUUUAGUUUUUUCAAAUUUUUAUGCAUUUGAUUUUUUUUAUAAUAAUUUUUCGAUUCACAGCGGAUUGAAUCACUUGAUGAACUCCUCUAUCAUACACUACUUUUUUUGUGGGUGGCUUGAUCCACUACUUCAUAUAUACUAGCAUUUAACUCGUGUGGGAUAUUUUUAAUCGAUGAAAUUAAUUUCAUAUUUAUAAAUUUAAGUUUUCAUUUUUGGAUGAGAGUUUUUCUUAUUUUAUAUUUUUUUAACAACUAAUUUCAUCAUCACAUGUUAAAUAUUUUUGUAUUUAUUAAUUAUUUUUAAUUUUUCCUUUUAUAUUGAGAUUUAUUUUUGGUUUAAAUAUUUUCUAGUCAUUCUAAUUUAACUCUUUUUUGUUUUUGGUCUUUGUAAUUUUUUAUUUAUUUUUAAUCUUUGUAAAUUAUGCCUAAUUUUUUCAUUUUUAUGACGCUUUAAAUAAUAUUUUUUAAUUGUUCAAAGCACUAUCAGACCAUUUAAGGAUUAAAAUAUAAUUUGUAAAUACUAAAAAUAAAAAAAAUAAUUUUAUAAGGAUGAAAAGAAAGAAACAUAAAUUGCAAGGAAAAAAAAAUAUUUAAACUUUUUUUUUCUACCUUCAAAAUAUCAAUUCAAUUACUUUUAAAAUUCUCUUGUUUGAUAUUAGAUUUCCUUUUCAUUCAAAUGUCAUUUUCUUAUACUCCAACAGCAAAGCAGGCGCACACAGUCCCAUUGGAGGAGUGGGAGUGAAACAAAAAGCACUAUAAGUCCUUUGGUAGCACCCAAAGAUGAAUGAAUGUCUUAAUGAAACAUUUCAUGAGACGCUUGCUUUUCUUUUUCUCCUUAUCGUUUGUUGGACGCAGAAAUUUCAUGACCAACGCAAGCGUUUACUAGCUAAUUAACCUUUACCCCUUCAUUCAUGCAAACGAUUUUUUUUAUUUUUUUUAGUAUCUCAUUACAGUCACACAAAAUGCCACAAAUUUCUUCACCAAAAGGAAAAGAAAAAAAGGACUUUACUAUUAUGCACGGCUAAAAUAAUAUAAAAUUCUUUAAUGCUGUGAUACAACCUUUUUAAUUUAAUAAAUUCAAAAAAAAUUUACAGCAACACUUCCUAAAUUUUUAUCAAAUCACGCAUAUUCCUUUUUUAUUUAUUAAUUUCCUUUUAUAUCUGAAAAUAUUGCAUUAACAUCUAUUUAUAUGUUUGAAAAUAUUACAUUAACAUUCCUUCAAUACACUUCAAAUCUUACAUUAACAUCUCCUACAAAAGAGGUGGAUGUAAUAAUUAAGAAAGCAGAGAAUAUUUGUCUAAUCAAACAAAAUUUCAGGAGAUCUUGUUAUAAUUUGCUCUAAAUUUAAUGAUAUUAAUAGUUAAUUUGGAGGUGUCAAAAUGUGCUAUCCAAGUUGAUGUAAGUCAACCGGGUAUAGUUUGUGGGCUAAUUAUACAAGUCGGGCCGAAAAAGGACUACUGUUUCCUACACCUCCAGAUUGCUUUUUUACCACUUUUUUAGCUUUUGGACUAGUCAAUCCAUAAUGUAAAAAUUAUAUUUUGAAUUUAUUUCAGGUUCUGACUUACAGAAUGACGAUCCAAAAGGUAAAAAAUACAUUCUAAAAGGGUGCAGAAAGCAACUUGAAGGUGCAAGAAACAAUAACCCCAAAAAAAGUCUUAAUCAAUUCAAGAUUUCAAAAUAAAGUCCAAGUUCGAUGAAAACUAUUAUUUCGGCCUUUAAUGGAUUUUUAUGUGCUAAACUUGAAUUGGGCUGUAAUAGGGUUUUAAAUCAAUCAAUUCAAAACUCAAUGCUUUUAAACUCUCAAUUCAGAACUGAAAAAUGGACUCAGCAUACAAGAAGCAGAGCCGUGAUCUUGUUUUUGGUAUCUACUGGAAAUAAUUUUGUUUAAAUAAGAUAAGCUUUGUAUUGGGAUGAACUUAUUUAGUCAUAUUAUCAUGUAUUUUUUUUAUCCGUAAAAAUUGAAAAUAAUAUAAAAAAAUUUAUAAUAAUUUUAUGUUGUUUAACUAACUAAAUUAGAUCCCUUAACAUGUAGUUACCUAUUUAAAAAAGACCAUCAAUGAAGUAUUAGUGGUUUUUGUUUAUAAUUUUUUUUUCUAAAAGGCAAUUUUAGAGGACUACAUUCAACCAUGAUUUAACAUUUAAUUUUUUGCUAAAAAAGUUCAAGUUUGACUUCUAGUUUCCAAUUUAGUAUUUAUAAAGCAAUCGAUUCUUUGAGUCAAUUUUUUGCCGACCCACGACCCACCACGAGUGGUGAGCAUUCGAAGUUUGAAUACCAUAUGCGUCACCCUAAUAUUUAAUAUAGUCAAUUUUAUUAAAUAAAUUAUUUACUACUAUAAAAUUAAAUAAGCAUAAAAACUAAAAUUAUUAAAUUAGGCUAUAAGAUUUAAUGAAGUUUACCAAUGUUAAUUGGUUCUUUGGCUGGUGAAGUGGAUUAUUUAAUUUUGUUAAAUAACAUCAUGACUUUGGGUCCCAAUUAACUAAACCAUUUCAACCUCUUUAAUGAAUUAGGCUAAGUUUAAAUAGAAGUUUAAAAAGUAUUUUUUUUUUACAAAUUUCAAUGCACAAUUCUAAUUUUUAAUACACAAAAAUAAAGAAAAAAUAAUUUAUUAUUGCCAAAAUAAAAACAUUUUUGAGUUGUUCUAAGUUCUAACUUCUAACUAAAACCUAAACGCACACUUACCUCGAGUCAAAAUAGCUAUCAAAAGAAAAGAAGUUAAAAAAAAUGAUAAUUUUAUGCAACUACUACCAGUACGAUGUGAACAUCUUUAAAGACAAAAGAGCUAUCGUUGGAAGUCAAAGUUUGAGACCUCAAGUCAUCAUCAUCUAUCUACCUUCAUCCAUGACCCACUCUGAAUUGUGAUGUUGAUUUGAGGUCUUCUCUCUUCCGCUUCUCUGAAAUGGGUCUGCAUCAUCACAGAAAGUUGAUGCCAUUGCCAGAAAUCUGCGGGUCAAUUUGCCAUGUGAAGAAGUCUGAGCUUUGUUCAUCAGAUUGCAAAGUUUGCCUCAAGAUCUGCCUAACCAAUUAUUCUCCUCCAACGCUACCACCACAAGUUCCUCCUUUUCAAUCAUAUGAUGAUGGUGCAGCAGAUCAAGCAUACAACCACAAAAUCUCCACCUAUUUGUUCCUUGCACUUGCUCUUCUAACUGCUGCUUUCUUUGUCGUUUGUUGUCGUGCCAUCUAUACCAGGUUUAGCUCAAGGAGGAGGGUAUCAUCAACAUCAAGGCGCCAAAACCAAACACACCAUGAUGAUGAUGAUUUUGUUGAUGAAGAGAAUGGCCCUAUGGUGGACCACCCCAUAUGGUAUAUCCGCACCCUUGGCCUUCAGCAAUCGAUUAUCAAUGCCAUCACAGUUUGUAAGUAUAAGAAAGGAGAGGGCUUGAUUGAAGGAACGGAUUGUGCUGUUUGCUUGAGUGAGUUUCAAGAGGACGAGAAUCUCAGACUUUUGCCAAAAUGUCACCAUGCUUUUCAUCUUCCUUGUAUCGAUACCUGGCUUAGGUCUCAUACCAAUUGUCCUAUGUGCCGGGCUCCAAUUGUUGCUGACCUUGCAACUGCAAGGAUGGAGUCUAGUUUUGUUGAUUCAAGUUCCUUGGAAAACAGCCACAUGGAAGUUUUGGAAAAUAGUGCUCCUGAUUCUGAAUUGAUGAAUAAUAGGGCAGAGGAGGAAGAAGGCCAAUUGGAAGUUGAAGAUGGAGUGAGGGUUUGUGAAACUGAAACCCCAGUUGAAGAUGUGGCAAGCACUCUUCCUAGAAGUUCGGUUUCUCUGGAUUCUUUUUCUUUUGCAAAUUUCAAUCUUGCUCUUGCAACAGUAGAGUCUAAUGGUAACUCAAAAAGAGUGCUGGGAGGUGUGGAUGAUGAUCCUACUGCUUCAAAGGGGGUUAUUGGAAACGAUUUGGCAACUAGUUCCAAAGGUAGCUCCUCUUUCAGGUUAGCGAGAUAUCUGCAGGGUGUUCCUAGUUCUUCAGUGAAAAGGUCACAGUCCUUUAAUGGGAAAUACCUUCUAUCCUGGUAUGGCUGCAGUCAGAAGAAGCCAAAUGCUCCUCUGAGAAGCUUUUGAUAAUGUUGUCCUACUAGCUUAUGUUAACUUGCGUACUAAAAUGUUUAUGUAACUCUCAACAAGGUGAGAGCUUCAAAUUUUAAUUUCUGCAUGAAGCAACUUAUGUGAUGCUCAAGUGUAUAAUAGUAAAUCAGUAAGUUGCAAAUAAAUAUUGUGGAAUUUUUGCUCAGAUUGUUCCAUGUAUGAUGAUGUCUUUACAUGAAAUUGUGAUUUUCUAGAAUCCAUAAUCAACCAGCAAGUGGUGAUUAUUGAUGAUAGUGUCAUAAGAUGCCGAGAAAUAGAAUAAAAAAGAUAACAAAACAAUGGAAUCCAGCCUCAAAUCGUUACGAAAGGAUGAAUAUAACUGGCAAAUGGCACUCCACAAUUCAUAGGAGGUAUUGCAGCUAAUAACAGUUUUACGGAAUCAGUAGAUGUGGAUAACACUCCAUAACAUUUAAUCUUCAAUAAUUGUAUGUUUAUUUACCAUUGUCAUGUACAAAGUGUUUCUCAUUUCUUUUACUUUUCCAUAACAACUUUUUAUAUUAAAAUAUAAAUACAAUCAUUUGUUAUGUAUUAUUUGGCCUAGGAGAAUUCUAUCGUAUUGUAUUUGCGGUUUUUUAUGACACUCAUUGUGGCUUAUCCAACUUUUUAUUAUUAAUACAAAUACAAUAAUUUUCAACUAUAUACUCAAAUGGAUAUUUGCUUCAACACUAGAAAGACCCACAAACUUAGAUACAUUUUCUGGCAUGCAACAUGUUGGGGGAUUUGGUUAACAUAAUUUUUAACAAUGAUAGGCCGAGUUAGCUCGAACUUAUCUCAUCUAUUAAAAGUUAUUCAUAAAAGUGAUUAUUGUAUAAAAUUGAGACUCAAUCGAAAAUCUUUUAUUCUUCAUGAUUCACCUUUUCCCUCAUGACUGGUGGAUGUUUUUUUUUGUUUUGAUAAUUAGUGCUAUAUUUUGUUUCUUCCUUAAAAAAAUAAUUAUUUGUUUUGAAAAAAACAUGCAAUAACAAAAACCUAAUUUACUAGCUUCAAUUGUCAAUUGAAUAAGAUAUACGAGUUAAGAAGUUGAAUCAAAUAGGAUAAAAAAAAAGUCAAAUGACUCACUUAUUUAUUUUUCAAGAAAAAAUUAAAGAUAUUAAAGGUUUAUUGCGUGUUUAUAAGUGAAAGAAAAUUUGUAUAUUAUCAAUUAUUUUUUUUAGAUUAUAUAAUUUUGAAUAUUCUCUAAAAGUUCAUAAAGUUCUUUAAAAUCUUGUAAAUCCAUAAAGUCCUUCUAAAUCUUAUGAAUUGAUAUUUUAUAACUCCAUUAAAAUCUAAAUUACAAAAAUCCGAAUCAUAAAAGUAUUUGAAAAAAAUUAAAAAUCAUUACAUUUUCAUGAAGUCUUUUAAAAUUUUUAACAUUUUUUUAUGUUAAAAAAUAUUUUAAAAUCCUAAUCGGAAUGUAUUCUAAUUUCUACUCAAAUCUUUCCACAUAUUGAGAAGAUUCUGUUAGUGAAUUUCUCAAGGUCAAAGCCAAAAGUGAACCAAUAACCAAACUUAUUUCGCAAUAAAUCCUAAUUGAUACCUUAACAACUUCAGAUCCGGUCAGUGAUUUAAGUAGCAAAAGAAUAGAGGAGGUUUUACCAAAUAAGCUAAAAUGCUCAUCUAUAUUGUCAUUUCUCAAGUGCUCCCAUUUAUGAAGCUCCAUACUCCUCAUUGCAAUAUAAAGUAUAUACUAUAGCUACAGCUCAGAUGCAUUUAUGCACACAAAUGCUCCUAUAUUCCAGCAAUUCAGUAGUAUUCCAGGGGUUCGGGGUUGUAUAAUUGUCUCAUCAAUGAUUUUCUCACAAUGCAAAACAUCAGAAAUAUGUUUUUGUUUGUUUUAUUUUUUCUUGUGCGGAUUUAGAGAACGUGUUUUCUGAUGAAAGAAAUUUUAAUUUAUGAAGAUUUUAUGAUUGAAUUAUAAAGAUGAUAUUUCCUCCUGUUGACACUUUUUAUCUGGGCUUCUGAAGUUCCCCGCCAUUUAAGGAAAGGCAACUACUUUAUGCUGCCGCUUGAUAGGCAAAGUUUCACUUUGUUAAUGCCAGUGUCUCGGUUAUUAGAUAUACACUUCCUAAUCGUUUGCAUUUAGAAUCGAGUAAUACAUGGCGUUAGAUCUUGUAGAAUUCAGUCCUUGAGUUUGAUUUGGAUUAGUGCUUGUCAAACUAAUGUUAGUUCUUGUACCAUUCUAAACUUGUGCUUGCCGUGUUUAACUUAAGAAAAACAAUCAAAACAAUGCAAUUUGAUGCCUUAACCUGAGGCUGUGGGCAGUGAUUUGAGACAAACUGCAACCCCCAAAAUCUCUUUUUAAGUAACAAAGGCAUAGAAGAGGUUUUACAAAAGAACCUAAAAUAUUCAUGGAGUAUAAAUGUGAAAUGAAGUCUCACAUUGAGUGAGUAAAAGUGAAGAAGUUGAAUAUCAUGUAACUGAGAAGAAAACCCAUAAAUCUGCAUAAACCUGAGCAAUUGUAGGAGAUCUUUUAAACGCUAAAAAGACCGUCAAAGGCAUACUACACGUUUUCAGAAGCAUAGUUGUUGGGGGGAAAACUAAAGAGAAAAAAAGCACAAGAAAAAGCUACCAAAAUGUUAAAAAAACAACAAAGUAAACAAAGCGAAAUUAUAAAUGAUCAAGAAAUAGGCAUAAUACAUAACGAGUCCACUUAACCAAACACAAAAAUAUGCCUUCCUCUAUUCUUCGUCAGCAUCUUUGUUUUUCUUUUUCUUGUGCUUCUUCUUUUCACUCUUAUCAGCAUUACUGUCAUCCUCCUUUCCAUUGCUAAUUUCAGCAGUAGCAGCAGCAGCUUCUUUGUCUUUCUUCUUCUUCUUUUUCUUCUCAGACUUGUCUAACUCUGGCGAACUAUCUUCAACCUUAUCCUUGUGCUUCUUCUUCUUCUUCUCAGUUUUCUCCUCAUCAGAAGAGGCUGCUUCGCUGUUCUCCUUAUUCUUCUUCUUUUUCUUCUUCUUCUCCUUCUUCUCAACUUCAACCUCCACAGUCUCUUCAUCUACCUUCUUCACCUUCACCUUUUCUUGCUUUUCAACCUCUUCCACUUCAUCCACUUUCACCUUCUUAGCAGGAACAGCAACGGGGCUAUCUGUGCUUUCAUGCUUCUUUCUCUUCUUCCCUUCCCCAUCUCCCUCCUUCUUCUGAAUCUUGUCAUCCUCAGGUUCCGGCGCAGCAGCCAAGCCAGCAAUCACACUAUCCCCACCAGUUGGCAAAACCAAAUUCCUAAGCCACUCCUGGGGGGUCUUCUCAUUGGGCUUCCCAUGCUUAUCGAGCUUCCCUUCACUAAUAAGCCUCUUCUUCAUGGACGCCCUCGGGCCCAAGCCCCACUUCCUGGGAUAAGUAUCCCUAUCCAUGACCACCCUCUUGAUCUUGGCCACAACCCCAUGAUCACAAGUGGCCAUAACAGCAGUAGUCAUCUCAGCAAUCCCAAGAGCAAUAGCCUCACCCUUGGUAGUCAUAAGCACAACCUCCUCCCCAACAUCAAUAUCAUUCUCAAACCUAAGCAACCCAGGAAUCAUGAACUUAGCACCAUAACAAAUAGCAUUGACAGCAGAAUCCUUGACAACAAGCCUCUUAUAGCUAGUCAGAAGAAUCUCCAAGGGCAUAACAACCCUCCUCAAAUAAGUCUCAUCCCUAUAAUUAUCAUAAACCCACUGAGCAUCCAUGACAUCAUGCAUGGAGACCAUGUUAUCCUUCUCCCCCAUGAUCCCAGACCUGACCCUCCUAAGCUCCUGCAUGUGGCUACCCACACCAAGAAGCAAGCCUAAGUGCACACACAUAGUCCUAACAUAGGUGCCAGCCUCACAGGAAAUCCAGAAAACAACCAAGUGCCUAUCAGGGUCAUACUCAAGGAGCUUACUUUCGUAGAUGGUCCGAAUCCGGAGCUGGCGCUUGACGGCGGAAAUCAAGGGGGGACGCUGGAAGACGGCGCCGGUGAGGGUUUCGAGGGCGCGGGCGACCUUGGAGACGUCGGGGACGUCGGAGUGGAGGCGGGCGAUGCAGACGUACUCCUUGCCGGCGCCCUGCUGGGACUUGACGAGGCGAGUGGCGCGGUCGAUGCAGACGAUGAGGUUGCCGGUGACCUUGGGGUCGAGGGUGCCGGAGUGGCCGGUCUUUUCGACGCGGAGGAGGCGCUUGAUCCAGGCGACGACCUCGUGGGAGGAAGGGUUGGCGGGCUUGUCGAGGUUGAGGACGCCGUAUUUGAGGUACUCGGCGAGGGGGCGCUUCAAGGGGGAGUAGCCGGAGGGGAUGGGGGUGUAGUGGCCGGUGCGGACAUUGAGACGCUCAUAGUUUUUGAGGAGGAUGGGCCAUUGGGAGGUGUCGAUUGGGGGAGUGAAGCUCUGCGGCUUGAUCAUCAACCCGCCUUCGUCUUUCGAUUCUUCCUCUCCUCCUCCUCCUUCGUGCUUGCUACGCUGCUGCUGCUUCUUCUUCUUGCUGCUGUCGGAGUGAGACAUGGCUCUGCAACUGAGAAGGGUAGGGUUUUAGGACUCAGGGUAAUGGAGGCGAUAAAAGCGAACAAGGGUUUUAAUUAAGGGGCACGCGGGCUGGCCUGGGCUGGGCUGGCCUGGCCUGGCCUUUGUUGCAUGCUGUCAUAGUCCAAACCAACCAAAAACCCCUCUUCCCCACUACAGGCCCAAAAUAAGUUAAAUGUACAUUCAUUUUUUGUUUUUUUAUAGAUAUAUUAGGUGAGACUUUGUUUUAAGUGUUUUUUAUUUUUAUUUUGAAAACAAAACAAAAAUAAGAGUGCAAAUACGUUUACUAAAUAUUCUCCGAAUAAAAACUUUUGUCUCUUAUUAUUACUGCCAGAUAAAACAUUAACUUGAUCAACAUAUUCGGACCAUCUCCUAUUCGUUUUUAAUAUUGAAAUUAAAAUGAACUUUUGAUGGAAAGAACCAUCAUUAGUCAUAAAAUAUCUAGAUUAAAAAUCGGGAUGCCUAAAUUUUUAACAAAAGAAAACAUACCUCAUAUAUACAAAAAUUAAGAAUUCACAAAUUACAAACAUUAUUUUUGACAUUUCUAAUUUCUUUUUAUUUAUCUUCUUAUUACAUUCACCGAUCAAAGUAAUUACUUGUUUCUCCUCUCUUAAAAGUGUGUUGCCAUCGCUAAGCUAACCAUCUGAAAUACUUUUCAUUUUUCAAGUACCAUAUGUCAAUUUUUUCAUAAUAUUGACACUUGCAAAUAAGAAAAACAAAGGGAACUAAAUCAUAGUUUUUUUUUUUAAAAAAAAAAGGCUUACUUAUUACUAACUAACAGGCUAGUGGGUCACGUCCACCUGGUCCAUUAAAGUUUGGUUUCUCUUCGCCGCUGGCGUUGGUCCGUGUUGAGACUUGAGAGUAAGGUUUCAAAUUGAAAUCUCUGUUUUCAAUAGUUGUUCCUUAACUUGGGUUGUGUUCUCUAGCUUGCGUGCGUAACAUAAUCAAUUAAGAAGCUGCUAUUGUGAUUCGAAAUCAGAAUGUUGCGAAGAUGGAGCAAAGCAGUUACUCCAAUCUCCAAAUUUGGAUCGCAGAGUCAUUUGAAUUUCGUGAAGGACGUCUCGCGCCAAACCUACGCCGGGGUUGCACCCGCGCCAACGAUAGAGGACAAACCUCACCGCCCCGUGGUAUGCAAACUUUACUUUCCUACGCAUAACAAAAAAUGGUAAGGAACUAGUCUUGAUUCGAUGUUGCUAACCGAAAAUCUCUACUUUGCAGGUUAACCUAGAUAAAAUGUUUUGGUCUAAACCCUGUUCGCUGGCCUUGCCCCGUGACUCACCCCUCAGAGUUGAAGAACCUGAUUAUCAGGGCAUCAAGCGUUUAAUGCUCAAACUCAUGCUGUUUUAUAGUAAGCAGAGCAAGUCAAUUCGUGGGGCUAAUGUUGUGUACCAAAGAAUCAUUUCUCAAGUUGAUAAACCUCCCAUUUAUGAAGGUCCAUUCUGCUCACAGCAAUAUAAACUAUGGCUGUAGCUCAGAUGCAUUUAUGCACUUGUUAUGAUUGUGUACACACAAAAGGCUUACUUGCGUGCCUAUUCUCCUAUAUGUUUUAAGUUCUUGCUGACUAGUGUUUGGUAGAAGAUGAAGACAAGGUUUCCGGGAUUUGUGCAUGGAACUUUAAAGAUAAAUUCAUCCUCCAUGUUUGUUAUGGGACUAAACUGUUCACUUCACUUUCCUCUUCUCUUUCUUUAGCUCAUGUUUAUUUUAGGUUCCCUUGUGAAUAUAUAGAGAUUUAAAAGCUAUGUUGUCUGAGUGUCUACUUUUGUAGUACUUUGGUUGGUAAUGUACUAAUGUUACUUCUUCUUUUUGUUCUAUAUUUUCUUGUGUGGUUUUAGAUCACAUAUUUUCUGAUGGAAGAAGUUUUAAUAAACGAAAAACUAUAUUUCUGUGGCCAUUUUAUGAUUGAAUUAUAAAGAUGAUAAUUCCUCCUGUUGACACUUUUUAUCUGCUUUUGAAGUUCCCACCAUUUAAGGAAAGGCAGCUAGCUGUUUUAUGCUUGAUAGGAAAAGUUUCACUUUGUUAAUGCCAGUGUGUCCCAGUUAUUAGAUAUACACUUCCACAACUUAAUUAGAAUCGAGUAAUCAUGGUAUGGGAGGAGUUUGAUUUGUAUUACUGCUCAUCAAACUAGUGUUUGAUCUUGUAGCAUUCUAAACUUCUUCCUUCUGCUUGCAGUGUUUAACUUGGAGAAAACAUUCAAAACAACAUUCUCUUUACUUGUGCUUCAUAUGUGGUUCUGUUUGCGUCGCUUGAAGCAAGAGGGAAAGGAGGGUGUUGAAUUUGGCCAGUACCUUUAUGAGAUUUACAAUCACGAUGUGGAGCUAAGAGUGUCCAAAGCUGGAGUAAGUAGUCAUUUAUAAGUAGAUAUAUUUUCACCAACAAUGUACAUUGUGGAAAUUUUCCAUAAUAUUUCCUUUUAGAAACAAUUUAAUAAUUAUCUAUUUUGACAUCAUUAUCCAUUAAAAGUUAACUGGAAAUAUUUUACCAUAAACUCCUUCUUUUCAAUUUUUCCAAACUAGUUUGGGGACUGACCUCUACAUUGGUGAAUUAUAAUAAUUCAAUUUGAAAUGGCAGGUUAACCUACUACUGACUAAGUGGAUGAAAGAGCUUGAGAAGAUUUUUUAUGGGAACAUUGUUGCUUAUGAUACUGCCAUACUUCUGGAAGCUAAACCGGGUGAUUUUUCUAAUGUUAUAUGGAGGUAGGUACUUAUCUGAACUUAAUCCUGCACCUGUUGAAAGUAGGAAACUUUAGAUCAAUUCUUUCUCCGUUUCUCUCAGUUUUGGAUAUUGAAUCAGUGAAGACUCAGUCCUCCCACCUAGUAGUCUAGUACAUACUUCCUUUAUAUCCGUAGUUUAUCCUCAUCUGUUUUUCUUUUCGUUUUUGGAGUUUCAGGAAUAUAUUCUCUGAAGAUGGUUCUUCAACACCAGAUGCUGCUGCAUCUCAAUCAGUGCAGGUAUGUCUAUAUGAUGUAACUUUUUUCAUUAUAUCCGUGGAAAACAUAUUGUGUGAUUUUUCUAUUGUAGACUUUUGGGAUGGGACUAUUCCCUGGUAAUUCAUGCUAAGCCAAAAUACUCAGGGGCCACUGGUAAAUCAAGUGAUAGAACUAUUCAUAUUAAGUUGUUAACCAUUCACCAUUGAAGUUACUUCGUAACCUGCUGUCAUUCACCAGUUGCCUCCACCCUGGGUUAAUAUUUUGGCAUGACUUGACUUUUCUAAAUUUCAUCCUUUUAUAGUUGAUCAAUUUUUUUGACAUAUUACCAUUAUACUGGAGUUUUUUUGCCAAACUAGGGGAGGAUAGUGAUCACCUUUAAUGAAGUAGAUACAACUGAGUGAGGGGCUUUCUAUCCCGAAUUUGUAUUGAUCACCAAUUUACAACUUUGUCUAGAAUUGUUUCCAAUGAGGAUAGUUAUCGUCAUUGUUUUUUCUCUGUUUCCUUUGCUUUGCCUUUCACAUUUUAAUUAAAUGCCCAAUGCUUUAAGUUGUUUCCACAAUGCUUCCUUAUUUUUCUCAUUUAUAUUUAGUACACACACAUAACACAUUCAUAUUGAACUAAUAUUUUGUAUAGGCGAUGGCCAGAUAUGCUCGCCGGGAAGUAAGUUGUAUGACCUUAACAGGUAAACUCUGUCUUUGUACUUUUCUGAAAGAACUGUUUAUAUAUGUAUUACAUUAUUGAUCAUGAAGUGGAUGAGAAACAAUGGGCCAAUGCCUGCUGCUUUAUCCUUGGUGGUCAAGUGAGCUGGUGAGCUCCCUAUCACACUACCAGCGUCUCAUUUGAAAACUUUCCCUGAAAAAGGGUUUUGAGGCCAUAGAUAGUAGGAAAGUAUUAUAUGCCAGGAACUCAGCUUUAAUUCCUAUAGAAUAUUUUUAUCAUUUUGUCUAGUUUCAUACAGGUUUUUUUGAGUUUUUUUGUAGUUGAUAGCCAUAUGCCACUUAUCUCUAUAUUUCUGAACUUCCUGCUAUACUAUUAUCUCACGGACUGCAAUAUUUCUUUUAAGUAGAUCAUUUUCAACAUGUACCGUUAUUUCCUUCGUGUCUCUGAUUAUCUAGUUUGAAAACAUAGAAUUUCCACCAAUUCAUAAAUAUUUACAUAAUGCUCUCUGCAUUUCACUUCUGACUUCCCAAAGAAACGUGAAAAGUUAUCUUGAACUCUCGGAUAAUCCAUGCAUGUUAGUUGUUUAACUCUAGAAUACAUGAAACUUUGAAAGAUAUGUUGAUGAUGGAAUUCUAGCAGAUCUUAUGGAAAUAUUAUUAUUAUUUUUUUAAUUCUGAGUUUUAUUGAAUUGGCAGAUAAAGAAGCACUAUUUUCAGGGAAUUUUAUGUUCACCUCUUUGAAGCAUGAGAACACAAACGGAAAGGGGCCUCAAUGAUAAAGUGGCGAUUUCUAAAUUUGUGAUUUAGUGAAUUGAAAAUACACGCUGUUCUUAUUUUAUUUUAUUUUAUUUAUUUAUUUAUAAAAAAAUGUUGAAUAAUUAUGACAAAAAGCUCAUGUCCUUCUCUGUAAGGCUUUAUACAUGAUUAGCUUGGGGCCUAGAAACUAGAAUUCUCAUAUUCUUGCCCUGUAAGACGAGAAUAGAAAAAGGGCAGAAGUGAUUGAAAAGUGUUGUUCUUUCUUAUUUUUGGCCUUAUGUUCAUCUUUACUGCGCUUUAACGGCUUCAAUUGUUUGCCUGUGUUAUGCGAGACAUUACAAUACAAUACAAAUAUCGUACUACUAUUAACCGGUGUUUUUUGGCGCUUGCCUUGAAAACAAAAUUUUUAAGGCAAUAAAUGACUUUUACAUCAAUUCUGUUUCUGAUUAGCUCAAAUGAUCAUCAAAAUGUUGAGCAAUUUGCGGUUUAUUGUUAACUUGGAUGGGUGUGGUUUUAGUCUUUAAGCAAUACAGACUUGGGACAUUCUAUAGUAGAUUGUUGAGAUUAUCCAUUACCUGCUGUUUAUGUAAAAGAUUCAAAGUUGCCACUGGGAAAUUACACAACCGCUUGAUGCACUCACUCCUCGUGCCUGAUUAAAGCUUUUGAAUAUGUACUAGAAUUCCAUCACGAUAGUUUCUGUAAGUAUCUUCACACCCAAUAAGGUGUUCCUGAGUACGAUAGUAAUCCACAAUGGGUGGCUUUUGUCGCUUGUGCAUUCAGGUUACGGUCCUUAUAACGUGACAAAAAAACCUUAUAACUAUAUUAUUGGACUUGUCGAGUUUCCUAACACGUUACACCAUGCAAGUGGCCGGACUACCAAGAGUGUGUUUUAUUUCAAAGGUUUUGUAUAGUGUUUUUAGGGUUCUCAAAAGGGGGUCAUUGAGUUGGUUCGAUUAGCCAAGUGUGAGUUAUGUAGGGUUUGUUAAAAACUUAAUUUAAGUUUGAACUUAUUUUAGUCUGAUCCAGUUCAGCCUGAAUUUUUACUAGUCCGACUUGCCAUGGGCUGGGCUAACCUGUUAAUUUGAUUUAUUUUUAUUAUUUAGUUUUUAUAAUUAUUAUAAUCACAAAUGAUAAAUCUAACCGUACAUGUGUUGUUUAAUCAUUAAUCUCCAUUUUAAAGUUAAUAUUUUAUGUAUAUUAACUUCUUUAAAAAAAAUAAAAAAUUCUAUCGUUUGUUUAUUGUUACAAUUGGUGCACUCUAUUUUUUUACUAUUGUAUAUUUAUCUUUUGUUAUUUUAUAUUACAAACGAUAACCGAUUAUAUUUGAUGCUAUUAUUAAAAUAUAAUUUAUUUAUUUUUAUAUGUUUUUUAAUUUUAGUUUAUAGUAACUAAAAAAUAUUUUAUUAAUUUGUUAUAUAAAAAUUAUUUUGAUAAUUUAAUAUUUUAUAUAUAUAUAUAUAUAUAUAUAUAUAUAUAUAUAUAUAUAUAUAUAUAUAUAUAUAUAUAUAUAUAUAUAUAUAUUAAAAUGAGUAGCUCGUGGCCGAACUUGUUUGGCAGAUGGCCUAAAAUAUUAAAAUCUAUUUUUUUAAAAUUAUGCAUGAACAACGUUCAUGUUUACUAUUCUUAAGAAUGUUACUAGUAUUCUUUAAAAUAUAAUUUUUUUUGGCAUAUGCUGUAAUAAUAUACCGUAAAAUAGAUGUCACCUGAGGUAAAAGAAUUCUUAAAACUUAAAAAUCAACCAAAUGAGUAGAUAAUAUAGAUUGUACUAUUAUAUUAAGCAUGUGGGUUAAAAUAAAAUCAGGGUUCAAGACAUAAUAACAUAUACAUUUAAGAAAUUCGUAUAUGGGUUAAUUUAUAUUAAAGAAAUAUUUCUUUUAUAGUUUUAUAUUUUUGCACAAAAUGUAAUUGGUUUCAUAAUUAGUAUUUAACCAAAUACUUACUAAAUGAUUGAAUACUUAUAUCAAAAUCAAAUCCCUCAUUUUUAUUUAUAAACAAAUACUGAUAUCAUUCUUCUAAUACUUGGGAUAUUAAUUUAGUAAUUUAUAAUAUAAAGCAAUCAUCAAGUCAAAGCUAAAUUAACAAUCAUCAUGUUAUGUUAUUACAGUAUAAGACAUUGAAGGUCUAAUGAUUCGUGUUCAUUUUAAACUCAAUUAAUAUCAGAAAUCUAUAAGCAACAGUUAAAUGUAAUGUAUAUAUUAUAAAAGGAAUUUGAAUUUUAGUUUUUUUUUAAAAAUAAUGACAAUAAUUUUUUCUUAAAUAAAUUGGAGACAUUAUUUCUGAUACACAAUUUUUAUUUUAUUUUUUGUUGAAGUUCUGAUACACAAUGUUAACCUGUUAAUUGUUGUGGUUUAAGCUUAGUGUAUGAAAUGACCCAGUACUCAGAAGGUGAAGGGAGUAAGUGAGAACUGAGAACUUCUAAGAAACGCCGCCAAUGGCGCAUCGCUCACUCUUCCUCUCUCUCAGACGGUAAGCUCACUUUCAUAUUCUCUGUUUGGUUGCCGAGAAAAAUACAACACAAAAUUGCAAUUUUGAUGAUUCUGCAUCUCAAUUGAGCUUUCAAACCCCCACAAUCGGAUCAUAACCAAGUUCCAUACUUUCUCGGCAACCAAACUUAUUUGAAUUUUUGGGUAUCGGUAGUUGAUCUCAAAAUUGCAGCUUCUCAUCAUGCAGAAAUAGCGGUUUAGCUUGUGUCCUGAACAGAACAAGAUUCGUGUCUUCGGGUGCUGUGAGCAGUGAUUUGGUGGAAGAGAGUGUGGAAGGUGAUGAUGACCUAAGGAGCAGAAUCUUCAGGCUUAGGCUCCCCAAGCGAAGCGCCACCAACGUUCUUCAGAAAUGGGUCCUCCAAGGGAAUCCUAUUACGCUCUCUCAGCUUCGGGAUAUAUCCAAAGAGCUUCGAAGAUCUCAACGUUACAAACACGCUUUGGAGGUUUCACCCUUUCCAUUAGAGUAUAAUAACACAGGAUUGUAGUUUAACAACUUUUUAGCUCCACGAGUUCUGCAAAGUUUAUUAUAGUUCUGUGAUGGUGAAUUAGGGAUAAUUUUCACAAAUGGCUAAGAUCAGGUAGAAGAACAAAAAUAUCUGUAGAAGGCCACCCAGCAGAUUAUGCAAAUGCAAGCUUUUAGAUCUUUUUCUGUUUUAACAAAUUAGAGCAUGUUACUGAAUUUCCACGAGUGGUUAUUAUCAUGAUUAAGAGUAAAUUAUACUGACAUCGCCGUGGGUUUUUCGAAAUUCACACUGAUACCCUCUUCUUUUUUCGGGCAAUAACCCCUCUUAAUUGUUUGAAAUACAUUACCUUGAUAUCCCUGUUACUCCAGAAAACACAUUAACUUUGUACUCAUGUAAAGGGUUUUUUUUUUGUAAAGUUAAAACUUAAAAAGGAAAAAGUUUCGUGUGACUUUCGAAGAAGUCACAAGGGAUGUGAGCAAAAUUUGCUCUAUAUUAUUAAUAGUUUUUGUAAGGUUCAGAAGAAGAAAGAAAGAUCUUAAGGUAGUUCGGUUUGCUUAUUUCUGUAGUGCCUAUAACUGUUGGAAUGAGGGUCCUUUGAUGUUUUCAAUACUGAGUUAGGCCUUUGGGAAAUUAGGCCAUCUCAACACUAUAGAAGUUUCGUGAAGUUAAUAUAUUUGAAUAAUGUUAUUCGGAUGUUUGAAUAUAUUCUGCAUGGUUUUAUAUAUAUUAGUUUUUGCCUCCAACAAACUACAAAUCUCUAUCAAUUCGGAAUACUUCCAUUGGCUCCUCGGUUAUAUCACAGUUUUGUUUAUUUUCUAGUGAUAAGGUUGCAUCCAACUUGGACCACUUUAUUAUGAUUUAUGAAUACUGCUCUCUUUUUCUGUUGGAUCUAUAGCUUUGCAAUUUGUGACUAUUGAUAAUUGCAGAUAUCAGAGUGGAUGGUUAGCAAUGAGGAAUAUGAGUUAUCAGACUCUGAUUAUGCAGUCCGCAUAGAUUUGAUGACCCAAGUUUUUGGCAUUGAUGCUGCAGAGCGCUACUUUGAGGGUCUACCUCUUGCUACAAAGACUACUGAAACAUACACAGCACUCCUCCAUUCUUACGCAGGAGCAAAAUUGACUGAAAAGGCUGAGGAACUUUAUCAAAGGAUAAAGGAUUCAAACCUUUCCUUUGAUGCUCUUACUUACAAUGAAAUGAUGACUCUUUACAUGUCAGUGGGGCAGUUUGAAAAGGUCCCUAUAGUUGUUGAAGAACUGAAACAACAAAAGGUUUCCCCUGAUAUCUUUACUUACAAUCUAUGGAUAAGUUCCUGUGCCGCUAUUCUUAAUAUCGAUGAAGUUAGGAGGAUUCUUGAUGAAAUGAGUCACGGUGCUGGUUCUAAUGAAAGUUGGAUCAGAUAUUUGAACCUGGCCAAUAUAUAUAUUAGUGUAGCUCAUCUUGAUAAUGCAAGUUCCAACACACUUGUUGAGACUGAGAAAAGGAUCACCCAAAGGCAAUGGAUAACUUAUGACUUCUUAAUCAUUCUUUAUGGUGGGUUGGGAAGUAAGGAUAAACUUGAUCAGAUAUGGAAUUCCUUGGGAAUGACCAAACAGAAAAUGAUUAGCAGGAAUUACAUGUGCAUCAUUUCUUCCUAUCUGAUGCUUGGUCUUACGAAAGAAGUGGGUGAAGUUAUUGAUCAAUGGAAGCAAUCAACGACCACGGAUUUUGAUAUGCUUGCCUGUAAAAAGAUUUUGGUUGCUUUUAGGGACAUUGGCUUAGCUGAAAUAGCCAACAACUUGAAUGUGAUUCUCAUUGAGAAGAACCUCAGUCUUGGAAGUGAUUAACUAGGAGUUCUCUGAGCAUGAAUGUAAUAUAGAAUAUAUAUAGAUUUGAGAUCAAUUUUGCAACUUCGGAAGGGAAAAUAUAUUUCAUUUGAAAUUUGUUAAUCCAUCCCGAAUGAAUAAAUAUGCUGUGUGAAUGGAAGUCUUGCAAUGCUCUUGUGGAUGUACAAGAUUUCAUUGCUUCUAACUUUUUCAUUUUUAUGGUGCCCUUGGUACAGCGGUAAAGUUGUGUCUUGAUGACUUGUUCGUCAUGGGUUCGAAUCCGGAAACAGCCUCUUUGCAUAUGCAAGGGUAAGACUGCGUACAACAUCCCUCCCCCAUACCUUCGCAUAGCGAAGAGCCUCUGGGCAAUGGGGUACGGAGUUUUUUAUGGUGCCCUUGUCUAGCAGCAUCUUUGAUGUCGUGAGAACCUUUAAUUAUUCCCAUUUUCUGAUUUUGUAGUCGUAACUGCUGUGAUUUUCAUAUUUAUUUCUAUGAAUUUGGAUGUGUUUUGCAUUUUCAUUCUUCAAGAACUACUGCGGUCGCUAAAUAUAAUAUAAUAUUUUUUUCCAGUUAUUUUAAUAUUUAUAAAACCUACUUUAUUGUAUAAAGUUAUAAAACCUGCUGAUGGGUAUGCCAAAUAUAAAGGUGUUGGUGCAUGUGUAGUUACCUUCAACGUUGGUGGUCUUAGUAUUCUGAACGCCAUUGCGGGUACUUACAGUGAGGAUCUUCCAAUCAUUUGCAUUGUUGGGGGACCCAAUUCCAAUGAUUAUAGCAGCAACAAGAUUCUCCAUCACUCCAUUGGCUUACCAGAUUUUACCCUAGAGCUCCUUUGCUUUCAGCCUAUAACUUGUCAUUAGGUAACCUCUUGCUUGCCAAAAGACUAUCUCCAUCACUCAUUUUAUAUCUUUUUCAAAUUUUAAUCUACCAUGCAUAUUUUAUCUUUUCUUUUCAAUUCAUUUUUUUUUCAAAUAUCAAUAGUUAAAAUAAUUUUUAUAUACAAAUGAUAUUAUAAAUUUAAAAUAUACUUAUUUAUUAUAAAUUUUAAUUAAAUAAAAGUAAAUAUUUAUCCUAUGUAAUGUAAAAACUGAAAUACUAUUUUAUAAUUUAUUUGAUGGAUGUAUAUAUUUGUUUGUUGAAAACAAAAGUAUUUAUUAAAUAAAGUUAUUUUACUUAUUUAUAAAAUGAACGGAUUGACACUGCCAUUGCAAUUGCUUUGAGAGAAAGCAAGCCUGUCUAUAUCAGUAUAGCCUGUAACUUGUUUGGCAUCCCUCACCAUUCCUUCAUUGAUCAGCCUCUCCCAUUUUACUUGAUUCCCAAGUAAUUAAUUAACUAGUAUCUAAUUUUCUUAUCAAAUUAAUUAACUCAUACUCAUACAUGUCAAUACUAAUUUUUAUAUAAAAACAAAAUCCCAAUCCUGAUUUCUUGGACAGGUUAACUAAUAAAAGGUGUUUGGAAAUUGCUGCGGAAAUAACAUCAGAGUUUUUAAAUAAGGCAGUGAAACGAGUGAUGGUAGGUGGGCAAAGGUUGCGGAUGGCAAAGGCAAGUAAGUGAUGCUUUCAUGGAGAUGGUAGAUGCCUCAGGUUAUCCCUUUGCAAUGUUGGCUUCAGCAAAAGGGAUGGUGGAAGAACACCACCCCAACUUCAUCGGCACUUACUGGGGACCAGCAAGCACUCCCUUUUGUGCAGAAAUUGUGGAAUCUUCUGAUGCUUACCUUUUUGCUGGUCCAAUAUCCAAUGAUAUUAUCUCUUUAGGGAACUCGCUGCCCCUAAAAAAGGAGAGCUCAAUUGUUGUGCUGCCUGAUCGGGUAAUGAUUGGAAAUGGACCUACCAUUGGGUGUGUUUCAAUGAAGAACUUCUUUGAAGCACUUACAAAACGCCUUAAACGCAACACAACUGCUUUUGACAACUACCAAAGAAUACACGUCCCAGAUGGGCUUCCCAUUCACCCUAAUCCAAAUGAGGUGUCAAGGGUCAAUGUUUUAUUCAGACACAUACCAGAACAUGUUGUCCCGUGACACCACUGUGAUUGCUGAAACAGGAGACACAUGGUUUACAUGCCAGAAGUUGAAACUACCACAUGGCUGCGGGUAAUUAGUGAUUUGUAGAUUAAGUAAAGAAUUUAACAGUGAAACUAAUAUUGGGUUUACAGGUAUGAGUGUCAGAUGCAGUACGGAUCAAUAGGUUGGUCAGUUGGUGCAACUCUUGGUUAUGCGCAGGCUGCUCCCCAUAAGAGAGUCAUUGCUUCCAGGUCAUUCAAUUUCACUGCUUGCAUUUAUCAUAUUUAAUUAUGUCACAAAAUUGAUUAAUUAUUGGAGAAUAUAAUUAAGGACCUUAGACAUUGGUAUUGUUAGAUUUCAUUUAAGUUUACUAGUAGAUAUAUAAUUUGCACUCUAGAAAUUUAGGCAGGAAAUGUGGACUUUCAAACACAUAUCAAGUAUAACUAUUUACUUUGGUCCUUGGAAACUGAUGAAUAACCAAUUCAUUAGUUGGAUACCAAAUUACCAAAAAUUGUUAAUAUAUAGUAAGUGAUUAAAAUUAAUGGCAUCAUCUAGCAGACGACAGUACAGGAAGUGUCAACAAUGUUACGGUGUGGGCAGAAUGGCAUUGUCUUUCUAAUUAACAAUGGUGGAUACACUACAGAGGUAGAAAUCCAUGAUGGACUUUACAAUGUCAUAAAAAACUGGGACUAUGCUGGACUUGUGGAAAGAAUAGAUAAUGGUGAAGGCAAAUGCUGGACUGCCAAGGUCAGACAAUCUUAAAACACUUGGAAUUCAGAAACUUGUACAAAAUUCUAGCUCAACAGAAAUUAGACUUCAAUCUGCUAGAUGAUGCCCAACAUGCAAUGAGACUAGUUUCUGAUUAAAAUUCUGCAUUGCUUUGCUUCUAAUUUUGUCGUUUACUUGACCUUGCAUUCGGCUAGAAUCCACAAUUGGAAGUGGUCGUACGUGGCCCAAUAAGAAAUGGGCUUCAUUGUCCAGACGUAGCCCAACAUGCAAUGAGACUAGUUCAAAGAUGUGGUGAAGCCGCAUCUGAUUUUGGGCCUUUCAGGAACCCAUCCCAAAAUAGCUAACAUCUUUAUUCGGUUGCUUUGGUGCAAUAAUUCUGUAUUCUCGGAUGUACUGCUAUGCUUAUUUGGUGACCGUUUGUCACAAUCGGCAAUAUUUCCUUCCUUUCAUUUUAUUUUGUUUGGUGUCAAAUAUUUAUUAGUUUUAUUAAUUAAUGACCGGUCUUUGCGGAAAAAAUUGGCUACCUUUGAUUGAUUCUUCUUUUUUAAUAAUAUUUUUUUCAGACUCAAAUUUAAGAUCUUAUUAAUAUCUUAAUUCAAUUUCAUUGACAUGUUAUAAUUUUCCUUCAUUUUUAUUUUAUAUUUUAAGAUUUGCUACAGGAAUUAAGAAAUGCAUAAUUAAUAUUUUAGAUUUCAUAAAAUAUUACUACGCAAUUAAAAUCAGAUGGUAGUUUAACCGUGAACCAACAUUAAUUUAUUCAAUUUAAAAAACAUGAGGAUCAAAAUGUACAAUUUAUUUUUGAGAUUAAAAUUACAUAAUUAUAAAAUUAUAAGACCAAAGAUGAAUUUAAGCAAAGAAAUUAAGAGAGAGAGAGAGAGAAUUUGAAAUGAGCUUGGGCUCAAAAUCAAGCAAUAAUUAAUGGGUGAACUGAGACAGUCCAUGCAUUGCACUGGUAAUGGAAUGAUUGCUACUACCAAUUCAUAAAUACUUAGAUUGCCCAAAUAUAAUGAACAUGAUGCGAGAAAAAUAAAUGACACGACACAAACAUGAAUGCAUUAAAUUUUAAAAAUUAUAAUAUACACUUGCAAUAUAUUAUAACAUUUGUAUUUAAUAUUAUAACAAAAAAAUAACAUUUGUAUUUGUUUAAUUGUAUUUAUGAUGAUAAAAUAAAAAAGGUAAAAAAUAUCCAAAAAAACAUAUAAUUUGCAGCUCCCAGUUAAGGGUCAAAACAACAGCCAAUAGGCAAACCAUGUGGGCGAAAAGAGUUGGAGCCUACGCGGCACUAGUCUCACCAUGCAAUCCACAAACACUUUCUCUUUCAAGUAUUUUCACAGGCUUAUAAGUUAUAAAUCAGGAACACCAACCAAAAAGAAAUUAUCACGAAUCUACAGCAUCCAUGAUUCAUCGUGUACAUAUAAUGGCAAAGCAUAUCUAAUUAAGUGGGGAAGUUUUCAAUAUGGGUUGGCCCAACAAAAUCAGAUGUGACUUCAAGAAUGACAUCUAUAUCUGAAUUGGUCGCAUUUGUUUUUUGCCUCAUCUAUUUUCUAGUGUCCUACAGUUUUAUUUUGUGACCAAAAUAUAAAAUAAAAAUAGUGAAAAGAAAUCAGUACAAAUAAUUAGUUAAAUUAUUAUCAGCUAACUCAUCUAUAGGCUUGACUCUUGAGUUCAAAAGUUAAUAAUUUUGAGACAAUUUAUACAUUCAUGUUGCCUUUAAAUAAAAUACGUACAAUCUUUCAUCAUUUUAAUUGAUUAAUUCAAUAAGAAUUUUCACGUUGCAUGUUACUUAACCAACCAUGCUAAUAGAGAAUCUUGUGCGUGAAAUUGAUUAAAAACAAUUCUGCAAAAAAGGGACAAACUUAAAAAUACCAAGCUAUAGUAUAUAUAUAUAUAUAUAUAUAUAUAUAUAUAUAUAUAUAUAUAUAUAUAUAUAUAUAUAUAAAGAAUAUGUUAUUUUAUUCAAAAUUUUCAAAUUUCUUUUAUCAUAUCAUUCAUUUUAUCUCACUUUCUCUAUUUCUUUCUUUUUUUUUAAAAAAAAAAAUUGUUAUGUGAAUAAUAUUAUCCAAAACUGAAACCAUGCAUUUUGGGAUACUAUUUCGUGGUGACAAUUAGGUAAAGUACAUCCAAAAGAGACAAACAUGACACUACUCUGCGUCUCUGCCCACGUUGAAACUCCAAAAAUUUAGUACGAAACACACCCAAAAAUUUAGUUUCAUAUAACAAACCAUAAGCAAUGCACUGUCUAAUGAUUUCAUAUGCUUCUUUUUCGGAAAGAUAAUAUUCGAGUCUAGUGAUAUAACAAAAAUAUGUUCUUGUAUGUGUUUUUUCUGUUGACAUGUCAUAUAUUUAGGGUUCGUUAUCUUUAGCAUUGAGAAAAUCUACUCCCAUAAUAUAUGUUUAUUAAAAAAUUACAAUUAAGAAAGAAACACACAAAAAAGAUAGAAAUGAUAUACUCCUAAUAUAAAAUUGAGUCUUUUCUUUGGAUUAUUUUCCUUCUCUCAAUUGAUUCACUUUUUAUAUUUUCUCUUUUCCAUUGUUAUGCAGUGAUAUUCACACACAAUAAUAUAUGAGCGAUUGAUGUUUUAAGAUUUUCGAAAAUUUUCAUUAAAUUAUAUUUUAUUUUAAAUUAUAACAAUUAUUAUUAUUUUUAAAUUUGAUUUAAGUUAUAUUAUUUAUUAUUUUGAGUAUGUUAUCAUCUUCAAAUUCAAACAGAAUCUUAUUUUAUUAUUGUUAUAAUUAUACUAUUUUCUUCAAUUUCAAAUCAAAUUAAAUGUUGUUUUUAUAUUUUUUAUAUUAAUUUGAUUUGUUGAAAAAAAUAUCAUAAAGUGGUUUUAAUUUAUAUAAUCAAAUCAAAUAACAUAUAUAAAAAUAUCUCCCUAGACAUUUGCUGAAGUUAAAAUGCUAUUAAGAUACAAUGGGAUGAAACUUUUGCUUUUUCUCAUACACGUACAAGUGUACGUAACAACUGCUACAAGACAGGAUUACAGAGAAGAGAAACUUGCAACAUAAAAAGUUAGUAGUAAUUUACAAAAGCCGUAACUUCUACAAACAGUUUGUGAAAUCCACAUGGAUUCACAAGUACUGCACUUAUCUUACCCCAAUCAUUCAUUUGCAAUUCCCAAAUAUACCAAACAGACAGUUAUUACAAAGUUCAAAGAUCGUGUAAACGCCAAUUUUAGUACAUGUUGGUAUCACUAGGACAAAACAUAUCCCACAAAUCAUAGUCAUUUUGCCUUCCAUUCACCGCCACUUGUUUUUCCUCUUUCACUUUUAUUUUUUAAAAAUAUAUUCUCAUUUAUAGGGAGAAAAAAUAAAGGAAAAGAUUUGCUUAUGCUAACUAAGAGGCUUUCUCUUUUUUACUUUGGCUCUGAUUAAACAUAGAAAAGCCAAAUGGUGGGAUCAUCAGUUGGCCAUAUCGUAAAACACCAAAUUCUGUAACUGGAGCAAUUUUCAUGGUCAAAGGAAUGAUGUAUGGUUGUAUCAAAUUUCAGUAUCUUAAAAUAAUAAGAAACUGAGCUGAAAAGGAAUAGACAUGUAUGGCCAGUGGUCACACUGGUGGUGAGGCAUAAAGAAACUGAAACUGGCUGUUUUUGAGCAUUGACUCAGAGAAUACCAAAAAUCCAAAGCUGGAACAAACAGAAACUUUGGUGAUCAUUCACAAUAAAACUGAUUAAUGCCCAUUUCAGCACAGCCUGUAAGAGGUCCUUGAAAUUUUUUUGAGAAGAAACCGACAAUUUUAACAUGACUAAUAAUUCCAAGUUUCCAACCAUCCCAUGUGGCUCCUUACUCCUUUCACUGAAUUCUGUGCUUGCCUAGUCACUCUGCUCUUUUUCUCUGCCCCCUCUUUUUUCUUGUUGUUUCUCUCAGUUAAAGGCACUGUCCCAAGAAAAAUCUAGAGUGCUGCAUUCUGUGAAUCUGGUUUUCAGCAUGUGGGAAUCCGAGAGUGAAUCGGCUUCAGCACACAAAUAUGGGGGUGGACUUCUCACUUCAAGUAACCAUGGUGUCAAGACAGAAGGAUUUGUGCAAAGAGGCCACUCUUGGUAAUGUUAAUUAAAUUCAUAAUUAGUACCCUUUGAAGUUGUUACAACCACUAAUUGACCGUGAAUCGAAAUUUUAGUAGACACAGGCAGAAAAUGAGAUUGGUAGUUCUGCUAAUGUUGUUUGCACUAGUAAUUUAUCCACUUUAUGUCUUGAACAAGCUUGAUUUAUAGUUAAAGAGCAUGUGAGCUGCUUAAAAUUCUAGUCUCUUUUCAUGCAGGUAUGUGGCUACUGAUAUUCCAAGUGACUUCCUUGUUCAAAUUGGAGAAGCUAACUUCCACUUGCACAAGGUAGCUAUCUGUUUUUCUUUCCUGAGGUUCGAAUUUCAUGAUUUCCUUUGUUUUAUGCUAAGAGAUCAGAAACUAUUCAUUUAUGCUGUUGAAUUUUGUGUUUACUUAUCUUCUUCCCCUUUUGCUGUGAAAGUAUCCCUUGGUAUCUAGAAGUGGAAAGCUGAGUAGAGUCAUAUAUGAAUCCCACGACCCAGAUUUGAAUAAGAUAGUUAUCGAUGAUAUCCCUGGUGGGGCAGAGGCUUUUGAGCUUGCGGCCAAGUUCUGCUAUGGAAUUGCUGUUGAUUUAACAGCAGGCAACAUCUCAGGCCUAAGAUGUGCUGCAGAGUACCUUGAAAUGACUGAGGACCUAGAAGAAGGGAAUCUUAUAUUCAAGGCAGAAGCAUUCCUUAGCUAUGUUGUUUUGUCUUCAUGGAGAGACUCUAUAGUAGUGUUGAAAAGCUGCGAGAAGCUGUCACCGUGGGCAGAAAACCUUCAAAUUGUUCGCAGAUGCAGCGAGUCCAUUGCUUGGAAAGCUUGUGCCAAUCCCAAAGGGAUAAGGUGGUCCUACACUGGAAGAACAGCAAAAAUUUCUAGCCCAAAAUGGAAUGAUAUGAAGGACUCAAGCCCAAGUAGGAACCAGCAGGUUCCUCCUGAUUGGUGGUUUGAAGAUGCCUCAAUCCUUAGGAUUGAUCACUUUGUUCGAGUCAUCACUGCCAUUAAGGUAAAGGGCAUGAGAUUUGAAUUGGUUGGUGCUUCAAUAAUGCAUUAUGCAACUAAGUGGCUACCGGGAUUGAUUAGUGACACUGCAAUCCCUGGUGAUGAAGCAAGCAACUGCAGCAUGAGUAACAGUAGUAGUAGUGGUGGCAGUAGCUGGAAAGGUGGACUUCAUAUGGUUGUGACUGGAACAAAAGAUGACACUUCAAGUCUUCAAGCUAAAGAGCAAAGGAUGAUCAUUGAGAGCCUUGUCAGCAUUAUUCCACCUCAGAAGGACAGUGUCUCAUGCAGCUUCCUUCUUAGGCUCCUGAGAAUGGCAAUCAUGUUAAAGGUUGCACCUGCACUGGUCACUGAGUUAGAGAAAAGGGUGGGAAUGCAAUUUGAGCAGGCUACACUGGCUGAUCUUUUAAUUCCUUCUUAUAAUAAAGGAGAGACUAUGUAUGAUGUGGAUCUUGUUCAGAGGCUGUUAGAGCAUUUUAUUAUUCAGGAACACACUGAAAGUUCAAGUCCAAGCAGACAGUCCUUUUCUGAUAAACAGCAUAUGGGAAUGGGAUGCAUCCUAAAUGCCAAGGCAAGAGUGGCAAGGCUUGUUGACAGUUAUCUUACAGAGGUGUCCAGAGAUAGGAACCUUUCCCUCACCAAGUUUCAGGUACUUGCAGAGGCUUUGCCUGAGUCAGCUAGGACCUGCGAUGAUGGACUAUACAGAGCAAUUGAUUCCUAUCUUAAGGUAAUUUCUUAGGAAAAUUGAAACAAAUUUUUUUAUUUAACUCCUUUUUUUGAUAAUUUUGAAUUACCUAGUGUUACACCUCAUUAUUACUUGAAAUUUUGAUAAAACAUUGUGGUCAAAUUUGAAAUUAAAUAAUGGAUUUCAUUCAUGCUACCAUAGCAUGCUUCUUGUUCUCAUCACAAUAAAGGAAAAGUUAAUUAGUGGCAAUACAUUUGAUCUAGAGAAUAUUGUUUCCUGAUUCUCCCAUGAACUAGAUUUAGGACAUGUGUGCCUAUAUCACAGAUAUUGAUCACUAAACAUAAAACCAAUCAAUUCCCAAGCAAAAUAGUUUUUUUUUUUUUUUACUUUUAUUUAUACACAGAAGGUUUGUUUUAUAUUUUUAAUGCUAUAAUUUGUUUUCUAAUGAUUUUGAAUUACCUAGAGUUGCAUCUCAUGAUACUAGGAAUUUUGGUAAAACAGGCAUGGUGAAAUUUGAAAUAAAAAAUUGGAUUUCAUGCUAACUUGGCAAUUUAGCAUGCGGCUUGUUCUAAUCACAAUAAAGGGAAAAGUUGAUUUGAAAUCAAAUGUAUUGCCACUGAAAGAUAUAAAAUCAAGCAACUCCGUGCUUCUUGUUGCACACACAAGGUUGGUUUUAUAUCUAUUGGUUUGGCAAGGAUGAUAAGAAAUAAAUAAGAACUUCUGAGAAACUAUGUUGAUGAGUUCUUGAUCAAUCACUCAUUGUAGAAGGAUGAGUAGGAAUGUGUAGAAGCUCAGCUUCACUUUUCCAAUGGAUCUCUACUUCUGAAUUUCUUAUAUGUGUAACAAAUUAACAGGCACACCCUACACUUUCUGAGCAUGAAAGGAAGCGACUAUGCCGUGUAAUGGAUUGUCAGAAACUGUCCAUUGAUGCCUGCCUGCAUGCUGCUCAAAAUGAAAGACUUCCGUUAAGGGUUGUUGUGCAAGUUCUAUUCGCGGAACAGGUAAAGAUAAGCAAUGCACUAGCCAGCAGUUCUGUGAAAGAUGUUGAAUCUGAGAGUCAUGCAAUGGUUACAAACCGGAAAACACUUCUCGAAGGGACACCACAAUCAUUCCAAGAAGGAUGGACAGCUGCUAAAAAGGACAUCAACACACUAAAGUUUGAGCUUGAGAGUGUGAAAGCCAAGUACAUGGAGCUUCAAAAUGAUAUGGCUAGCUUGCAGAAACAAUUUGAUAAGAUGCUAAAGCAGAAGCAUACUUCUGCAUGGAGCAGUGGGUGGAAGAAACUCAGCAAACUUGGAAGGACAACACAUCUAGUAGAAAAUCAGGAUGAUUCUCCUGAGAUUCAAGAUUCACUUGAACAAAACAGAAAGACUACUAGAAGGUGGAGAAACUCAAUAUCCUGAUUCCUGAAAUAUGAGAAUUCACUAUUUCUUUGAAAGUGUUUCUCCUUCCCUCUUAUAGCAAUUUCUACAAGAUUCUAGCUAAAUUGUAAUUUGUCACCAAAGCUAGUCAUAUUUUUCAAGUGUGAAUUCUACUGGCACUCCAAUCACGACUAAAUCCUCCUUUUCUUAUGCUGUUUUUUCAUUAAAAAAAAUGUUAUGCGUGUAUAUUUAAAAAUCUAUAGUUAAGUUUCGUUACGCCGGACAAAAUAGACACUUGGAUUUCCAUUUAUACACAAUGUUUCCUUUUGUUUCUGAUGCACUAAAUUAUUAUAGGCAGAGUGAAGACUAACAGAAAGAAGAUUAUACCAAACAAUAAUCAACUGAUAUUAGACAAAUUAAAGUAAACAAGACCAUCUAACAAUAAUCAUAUGAUGCAUGAUUUCAUAAGAGAAUUAACAGUUGGCAGCCAGAAAAAUAGCUAAUGCCAAUACUGCUUCAGUUCAGUCUGGUUUCACAUGACAUUAAGAUAUAUGUUAAUUGAGGAAGAUAGAAAAGAAGGUGAAAGAUUACAAAUAAAAUGAAAAUAUAAAGUUAAAGAACAUUUUGAAUUUCACUUGUAGAUGCUUAAUAGAGGAUACACAGGGCAUGGGAAUAUGAUUUUGAACCAGUAAGGAGAUUUUUAUUUUUCAUUUCUAUUUUAUUAUCUCUUAUUUUAUUUUCAUUUAUCAUCUCUAUUUGUUUUCAUUCCUAAGUUUUAACUAACAGAUUCAAUUCAAGGAGUAAAAAGAGAAAAUAAUAACAAAAUGUUUAUAGAUACAUUUUAUAGAAAAGAACUUGUCCAGCCAGAAGCAGUGAAAUAAAAAGAAAAAAGAAACAUGAUUAGAUAUUCCAACAUAAAUGAUGCCAUCCUGCAUAAAAAUAGUGACAGAGUUGUCAUGUGACAAGACAAAAGGGUUCCACGAGUCCAAAUCGGCAACAAGUAAAUCUUUCAAUAAGAUUAGAUCACCGUGAAGGAUUUCAUUGAUGCUUUCAUCAUCAUCAUGAAAGACAUUUAAAAAUUGGAAUGUAGUCCCUUGGAAAAUUAGAAAUAGGUGGAUUAAUUGUAUAGAAAUUACUAGACACAUGUUUUUCUUAGUUGGCCGCAUUUAUAGAGAAGGCAACUCCUGUGCAGACUUGUUAGCCUCUCAUACUAAUUCGAUUACAGAUUUUUUGUGGUGGGACUCUCCCACAUUUUGUUUCUUAUGAGUUCUAUAGAAAUAGGAUUGGCCUCCCAAACCAUAGGUUCAAAUAGUUUGGUUCUUCAUGGGUUUGGUUCAUGCCCCCCAUGGUUUUGUAUAUGUUAUCUUUUUGGUUUAAUGAAUUUCUUGGGGUUCAUCUGAUAAGCAUUGCGUUGGUGGCCAACCUAGUUGGAAUCACGUUCGCUUUUGUCUAUUUUUUGCUCCCUACUCUUGACUUCAAAAAAAAAAAAAAAAACCGCCAAUCAAAAAAGACUAUCAUGGCAAGUGGCAAACUGCUUAGAACAUCUCACGGCAGGCACCAACCAUACGAGGAAAGGGUAGAAAUAAUUAUCCUUGUGUUAAUUAUUAUCCUUCAGUGCUAGUCUUCUUCUUUAAUGUCCCUCUCUGUGCUCAUUUCGAAGCACUUUUUUAUUUGGCAUGAGAAAGACAGCGCUAAUAUAAUCACUAAUUUUCCAACCAACUCAUAAUUAUUAUAGCAUCCAGUUUAAAAGUCGGUGCCUAGAACCAUUUCUACUAAACAGUGACAAAAAAUGAUUUUUAGGCCUUCAAAUUAGUCAUGAGAUUCCAGAAGUUUUAAUUGCAUCGCAUUAUGGCCAAUCUUAAUGUCAGACGCUUCAUAAUUGCAUGUUUUGCUAGCUAAUAAGAAAACAAGGACUUUAUUUGGCAAUGGGUGGGUUAAUCUAAUCCAAUAAUUCAAUUUUUCCUAAAAAAAACAAGACAAUGGUUGAAAAUUUGCUGGAACCUGUUGUAUAUAAACUAACAACAUAAAAACUCAUUCAAUCCACUACAUGUAGGAAUAUUAGUAACUUAUAAGGCCUUCUGUUUGAAUCCAAAUUUUAAGUUGCUCAACAUUUUCAUUUCUAGAGGUGCACAAAUAGUGACAACAGCAAUACGAGCAAGUUCUAUGGUUUCAAUGCAUAGGGUGUAGUAGCAUUUAGUACUAUUAUUAAUUUCAAACAGGAUGACCGACCAUUAUGAACAAUGCAAUAUAUGAAUACACUCAAUUCGAAGGUUUUUAUAUAUAAAGGACCAAAAUCAACCAGAGUUGAAUACUGCAAUAUUGAAACAAUGUUCAUGGCUGAAGCAAUACACCAGUCAUGCUUAAUUUAAAUUGAACUAGACCUAACAGCAUGAAAUAUAUUGCAGAUAAACAAAAAUGGUGCCAUUUCAAAUAAUUAUAAAUAUAAUAUUUUAACUUUUCUUAAAAAUAAUUUCAGGCGAACGUUAUAAUUAUUGUGAAUGACAUGUUAUUGUAUUAUAUGUUGUUUAGGUUUGAGAACAAACUCCUAGAUUAGAAGUACUAAUAUAUACAAAACAAUUAUUAAAUUUGACUUUGAAAAACUAAUUUUGUAAUAAAAUUUGAUAAAAGAAAAAGGCUAAAUGGCACCAAUCGAUUUUGACAAAACACACCAGAAUAGUAAAUCCAUGAAUCUCGCACGUGUCCUGUCAAAUUCCUCUAAUUUUUUCCUUUUUUUUACAACCAAUUAAAAAUAAACAGCAGCUUUCGUACUUGCUAUUUUAAAAUAAAAUUUAUACCAAAUAGCAUGCCUCUUGUUAAAAAAACUAUAAUAGAUAUAGCAAAAAUGAAAAAAACUAUACUAGUAGUUAAUUGAAAAAUCAUUUGUAAAAGUUUAUUUUAAAUUUUAUUACCUAUAACCCUGAGCUUUAAUUUGAUAUAAAUAUAUAUUAGAUAUUUAAAUUAACUAGUUUUGAUUUUUUUUUUAAAAUAUAGUUAAAUAGGAAGAACAAAUUAUUAAGAGAGUCAGACAAUUCAUAUCAAAUAUCACUGCACCUCAAAAGUGACUAGUCUUUAGCUAUAAAAAAAAGUGUGAAAUCAGUAAAAUCCUGCUUCCAAAUUUUCAUUCAAAAACUAAAUAACUUUCAUCAAAUGGAAAAUCCAUUUCUCUCAAAUUGAAAUACUUUUUGUGUGCUAAUUUUAAUUUUAUAUGAAACUGAAAUUUCUUUUAAAAUUCCAAGUUCCAACUAAAAAUUGUAUGAAACACUAAGAAUCUGGCAUGUAUUGGUUAUUUCAUGUAUAAAUUCGUGAAAAUAAAAGGCAAAGUAAAAAUAAUAUGAAAAUUUUAUAAUGAUUAAUAAAAACAGAAAUAUGUCCUUAAUUUUCCCAAGUUAUUAUUUUAUGGCUAAACCGUCAGGUCUACAGUAGUGAAAAGUAGUGUAUCUUAAAACUUUUUAUUUAUGCAUUUGAACAUUCUCAAGAGCUUACUUCAGAGUCUUGCUUUUUUUUAAAAAAAAGAGCUUACUUCAUUAGUUUAUUCAUGCGUCUUAAAAAUUUGGUAACUUCUUUUCAAUGAUAGGAAACUCUGAUUGCGGAUAAGAAAUGCAAGUUUGUUUGUAGAAUUGUAGUAAUAUUCUCUUUAAUUUGAGCACACUUUGACAGGGUUAAUUUUGCACAUCUGUAUUCUUGGAAGUUAUGCGAUGUUAGCAUAACUUGAAGUGAUCGCAACAAGUCCAAAGAUUAUUUCUACUGUUCAGGCUUUAUAGUUAAAUAUCUUAAAUUUGGAAGCGACGGCAUGAUUGAAAGAUUAGUGUUCAUAUUCAUACCAUUGCUUUAUGUCAACAAAGUGUGGACAUAAAAGAUAGAGCUAGAAAGCCGAAACUGCCUAGAUCAGAGUUGUUCGCGUCAAUUAAGUGUGAUGGGAAUAAAAAAUUCAGAAAACAUAAUUAAUUAAACUAUAAUUUAUCGUAUAUGAAAUGAUGUAGACCAAUAUAAGCUACAUGUGUCGCACAGCACAGCUUUAAAAAAAUUGACAGGCACUAUAAUCUGAAGGGUUCAGGACCACGUACAUGAACAAUACUUCAUUUUCAUUUUUGUUUAAAGUUAAAUUAAGCUUUUAGCAAAAAGAUGUAUAUCAUCAGGUAUGCGAAAUUUCCACUCAUUUCCCGUCUCACAGGAGAAAAGAUAAACUUAUCAGAAAUUUUCUAUUAGUUUUUUAAAGCACGUUGUUCUCGCAUAUUUACAUGCAAAGUAUACAAGACAACAGAGGAAGUGAGGAAUCAUGGAUUCAUAGUAAAAUGACAUUUAAUUAUUCAACAUGUACAAACAUCAAAGACAAAAAAAUAUGAAUGCCAACGAGUCAUCAACCAGAAUACACCACUGCGCUGCCCUUACAAUAUUCACAAUCCAAAUCAUUCAUACAAUCACACAACCGACAGAUAAAUAAUAAUGAAAAAGAAACCUAGAAUACUCAACCCACCUCUCAAUUACAACGUAGAAAAGAGAAUCACCUAUGAUUCCACCCUCAACACGUAAAACAAAGUAACCUUUACUACUACCACAACAUGCUAUGUAUCCAACAAAUGGGGCCCCAGCAAGUCAUGAUGAAAACACAACACCACGCUCCUCAUUCAAGCACUCCCCAACAUUGAACUUUCUUCUUGGUACUUUAGAGUCUACGCUAGCAUGAUAUGCGUACAAGCUUGGAAGAGAGGAGAGAACAAAGCACAAAAUCAGGAAUGAAAAGGAGGAGGGUGGAGAGUGGGACCCCAGUUACCUAACGCGCAUGCAUUCGAUCAACAAGAGAAUUCAAAACUCCUGGAGAAAAAAAGUGUCCUCAUUUACAGCACAGCAAUCCACUAUCAUCUCCCAUCCAUUCAAUCUCUCUGUGAUCUUUAAUCCUCCAAACGCUAAAAGAUAAAAAAUCUUGGUCAUCAACUUUAAAUCCCAAACCCCAUAUUUCUUCAAUUGCAGUGGCAAAGGGCAGUACUAUCUAUUGCUGUUUUUGCCCCUUCACUGCUACACUAUAAAUACUCCUCGAGAAAGAGGAUAAAAGAAGCAGAUGCUAAGUUGAAAACUUGCAAUGCAACAAAUCUAAUCAUUCAACAGAUACAACUUUUUUCACCACCCAUGUGCCCUUCAACCAACCAUAUUGUAACCACCACAAUGAGCACUUAGUGAUAUUUCAGUGUACCAGCUUGGGACGCCAAAGAUUUCAAGUACUCAAUAGUACCAUCAAUGACUAACAGGGGAUGCUUUCCUUUUGCUCCAGGAAUAAAGUUCUCGAGAACUCUCAACAAUUCACGGAUUUUAUCCUUUUUCAAUUGAAUAUCAGCAGGUGUUGGAUUAUCUUCUUUAGUUUGCCUUGCAGCAUACACCCCGCCACUACUAGAAUACUUUGAUUCAGCAUCACUGGCAUACUCGCACAUUUCAUUUAGCCUUUCGGAACUAGCACUGUCCAUGAGUGGUGGUAGUGUAUUGUAUCCACUAUCAAUUAACUUCUGCCUUUUGUUUGGCCAAUCAGAGCCAGCAACCUCCUUCUUCAUGCCUGCAAACUGUUCUUGCAUCACAUAAGUUCUUUUUGUAACCAAUGGAGAAUGACCAGUACUUGUUACCUCAUCAUCAUCAUCAUCAUCAGAAUAAAGCAAUGCAUUGAUUUCUUCUGUGUCUUCAUGCAUUUCACUUUCUUCAUUGUCUAUAUGAUCUUUACCAGUCUCUUCGGGUGAAGUGUAUAUGGGUAAAUGCUUUUGGCCCAUAUUAGUUGCCUGUGCUUCCAUGUUUACAUGAUAAACUUGAGCAAAUUUUGUAGCAGUAACAGUUGGACUUUGGACAAGAGAGAAGACAGGACUAUAAAGCAUCCUUGUCUUACUACCAGAGUGGUCAAAAAUAAGUAACUUCUUCUGGAAAGAUGCAUGAUUUGCAUUUUGCAUAGCCCCUCCAGUAUGUGUUUCUUUCAAAUAUGGUUCUGAAUGAGGAUACUGAUGGAACCCAUGCACUUCAUUGGUCUGCUCAGUCUUCCAGUUUGGGAGAGCAGGAGCUGUGAAUCCUGGAAACACGCUGACAGCAGGAAAGAUGCAUGUGCUGGGGUUCAUAUAAGCUGAAUGAACCUGCGAACUGGGCUCUGCCGAGGUGCAGGAGCAAUUUAAGUAAGGUGAUGGCCAAGCCACAUGCUGUGGGUAAGGCCAAGACCUGUGAUCCUUAACCAUUCAACAAAUAAAAUGACCUAAAGAACAAUAGAAUUGAUCAAUUAAUGCUGAUGACGAAAAACUAGACCCUUUCAGAUGUAAAGAUAAAAAAAAUAACAUUUGAAAAUACAUACCAGUGCCUUGAUAUGGGAUCUUGAAUGACUUGCUGCUUCUCUUGGGAACAAAUGACAGAAAUAGAAAACUACAAACUUCAGCUUAAAGAGAAAUAAUUGCAAAGCAAUCUACGUUACAGGCUUAAGCAAAUGGCGGAAGUACUCAGCCUGCAAAUGUUAGAAGAUAGCACUCAUCAUCCAUAAGCUCAUAAAAUUAUCUGAUAGUCAAUACCAAAAGUUUUCGCGAUCAUUGAUCAUGAUGUAUAUGUUCUAUGCACAAAAUAGGCAUAAAUGAAAAUUUUCUUCAAACAGCUGGUUUCAAAAUCAUGCCUACAGUUACAGAAAAGAACUGCAAUAAACACUAAAAAUCAGCAACAGCUUACAAACCUGACAAUCGUGCAAAGGUUGAAAGCAUGCUAUCACUCUAACAAUAAUUGCUGGUUCACCUUUAAUGCCACUCUCAUGUUUCAAAGCCCGGAAUCUUGUUUGGCUUGCUGCUUGGCACACCAUAACGUCUUUUGAUCGUACCACACUAGAAUGUAAUGCACACACCAAGAAAAUGCCCCAAUGGAAUGUGAUAAUGAAGGAACCAAGCUAAUUAUAAAAUCAAAAUCAGCUAGAACUAUAGAACUAUAUGAGACGAUGACAAAUAACACUGAAGAUACAAAAUACCAGGCUCUAUCUUCACUUCCUAACCUUCAGCCAAUUCUAUACUCAUCUGAAGAAAUGAUCAAACAGUGGUUGCCUUCCAUGGCAGUAGUUAAAAAUAAGGGACUAAACUCCAAAAGUAACAAAGUAAAAGGGUUUAUGGUAUUGGAGACCUAUAGAAUAACUUUACAAUAUAAGUUCAAGCGUACAACUUGACGAUACACAUCAACCAAAAGACCCAACCAACGCAUGCUGAUUUCUUCAAGAUUCAACAAUUGCUUAGAACUUCAGGAUUCAGGAAGAUGUUAUGCCCUCAACACCAAUUACUCUGAAACAGUAUUAAAACAAUUUCAUGUUGGCAAACAUAGUAACAACAACAACAGUGUUUAUUAUAUAUAAAAAAAAUAUUCUCCAAAAUCAUAGAAACAAAUUUAAUGUUUCAAAUGAGAAAGCAUCAAUAACUACUAUGAGGCUGUGACAAAGGAAAAACUCAUUGCAGCAUAUAACUCAGCCAUUCGUUUCUUCAAAAAAAUAAAGCUGUAGGAGCCUCACCACUCUGCUAAUUUUCUCAUCCAAUUUUGUAGAUUAUAGAGAAAGUAAUCAUCAUGCUGCUAACUUGAUGGCAACAAAGAAAGAAGGCCAUGAAGCCCACUUGGCCCAGUAGGAUCACUACCCAAUUACUUAAUUUAAUUCCUUGAAAUUUCUAGUUGUUCUACUCAAUGACAAGGAGAAAAAAAAGAUAAAAAUAAAAUAAAAUUAAAGACUAUGUAAUCCUCAAAUUUGUCAGCAACCUAAGUAGGAUAGUUUAACAGCAAGAUGAUCCAAAUAAUAAUAAUAAAAAAAAUCCAAAUCCAAUUUCCAUCACGGAGAUCGUAGCCCGAAUUGAAUUCAAGCCAUAACCUUUAACAUGUUGUUUCUGUUAGCCACAAACCAAAGAACAGGUAAGAAAAGCCAGAAAACGAACAGAUGAAUCAGCUUUUGAAAGACUUACAGAUAAAUGAAGGCUGGAGAGAUUGGUUUUGAAAAUUUGAGGUUUGAGGAAACAGAGUGAACAGUGAGGAAGGAAAUUUUCUGGAGGAAGGUUAUGUUGUGUUGUGCAUGCCCACCACUAUAUAGACAAUCAAAUCUCACUUUUGCCCUUCCUUUCAUUUCCCGGUUUUAUUUUCACCCUUUCCCCGCAUAAGCUAUUUUUUUAUUGCAGUAAAUUACAGUAAACUAGUUUUUUUUUUUUUCUUUCGUUAUUGUCACUGCUAAACGUCAUUUUUGUAAAUUAAAAUUAUUCAAAUGUUAUUUGAUAUUAACUAUCGGACAGUGAAAUGUUAGAAAUACUUAAUUAUAAGAGUUUGAUCAAUAAUAUUGUAAUUGAUAAUAAAAAUAAGACUUUAUAAAUUAUAUUAAAUUAAAUAAAAACUUUGCCUAAAACUUUAGAGUUUUGCUGUCACAAUUCUACACUUAAGGAAGGUGCAUGUACCUAGUAGGUAAAAGGAUGGGAAUUAAAAGAAAAUAAACUAAUCAUGUAAUAUUAUUAAACCAACAACCUCAACAUUAUUAGUUUUCUUUUCUAGUAAAUUACUAUUUUAAUGAUUCCUAAAAUUUUAGACUGUUGUCAUAAUAGUUCCUAAAAUUAAAAUAUGUCAAAUAAAUCCCAGAAAUUGAAAUAUGUUAGUUAUAUUAGUCUUUAGCGUUAGUUUUGUUAAGAACUACAACAAUAGUAAGAACAAUUAUAAGAAUUAUAAUGUUAGUCAUAUUAGGCCUUAUCGCUAGUUUUGUUCAGGAUUAUGGGGAUAAGAUUCUUUUACAACUUUUAUUUUUAAUUUCAAUAUCAAGUUGUUGUCUUUUUUUUCAUCUUCUUUUGGCUGGUGAUCAAGUUGUUGUCCUGUCCAAUUAUGUUUAUAAAUUGAGAUAAAAAAAAAUUAUAUGGACUACAAACCAAAAUCACUAUUUGGUAGGAUAUAAAAGUUAUUCUAAGUUUAAAAAAAAUAAUGAUUACAUCUUAUCAAUUAUUCAUCUUAUAUAUUACUUUUUAAAUUGCUCCUUAAAACUUCAGAUUAUCCUUUCCAACGAAGUGGAAUUCAUAAAAUAUACGAUCUUACUAGUUGAUAUGUAAUGAUUGAAGAUUUAACCAUAAUUUUCUUUUGGUGACAUGUAACUUCGACCAAAGUCCUCAGUCCUUACCAAUCUAAUUAGCAAACUGUGAAAGUUGCUUAAGAAAUGAAUCGAUGCAGGUGGCCCUAAUUAACUGGCGAUCAUUAAAAGCAUUAGCAUACUUGUCAUAUGGUUGAAUGGUUAUAAUAAUCAAAACAAUUAUGAUGAUUGAUGACAAUAACAUUGCCGAAACGAAAGUCACAGUUCAGUAGAGCAGAGACAUAAACAUGUGCCAUUCACUCAUGAAUAAUCUAACACACUCAUUAGCAUCGUAAUUUGUUGUUAGCUAGUCAUUGAAAUGCAACCAAACCCGAGGGCCCAAUCGCCCCCACCAAAGUGAGCACAUUGGCACGAGGUACAUGGAAUGAAUGAUACAAUAGCAUGACCAUAAAAAUAAGAGAAUUAUGCAAAUGGUAGAUCCAUCAAGUGCAACAUGCAUUUUUAGCCCACUAACAACAAUCAUCCAAUCUAAUAUAUUACACCCGUGCAUUUGAUGAAAAGCCAAAAGAAGGAGAAGAAAGACUCGAAAUUUAUAAAAGGGGCAAUAUCAUCCAAUAAUUCAUGUAUAAUAUUGUAAAUUAUAUGCAUGGUGCUAUACCAUUUUGCUUGGAGUGGAGGGCACAAGCACCAAAUACCAAAAAUCUAUCAUGAGGUCUUCCCUUUCGGUUACAGCUACACCAAAGUGCGGUUGGAUUUCAGAGAUUGGAUGCUAGAAUUCAGGGAUUCAUUUAAACUUUAUAAUUAAAGAACAUACAUGAAAUUGAUUGCUUUCUGAUUUUUAUCUCAUUUUAAAGGCAAAGGCAAAAAAAUGCAUAUCUUCAGGCUCCACAACAUUUUCCCCAGCAAAUGUUUUUUCAGUGAGCUUUAUCAGAGGCACUAAUAGUAGUUGGCCGACUAAAUAGAUUUUGUGAGCAAAAUGCCAAAUUACUAUUAUCUAAAACGCGGUUACAAGAUCUUUGUUCUGAAAUGCACUGCUUGAAUGCAACUUUAGCAGUAUUGGUGGUUGGAAUAUUGGAAAUGAUUUACAAUGCAAAAUUAGACUGUUGAAAAGCAUUCAUGAUAGUUUGAUCAUCAUUGUAUUGGUAGAUAUAACAUCUUUUCACCAUUAAAAUUUGGAAGGUCUAGUGAUGGGAAUGCAGCGUUGACAAUUUGAAAUGUUUUCUCUCAUUUGAAUAUUAUAGUAGUUAAUAGUCUAAUUCAUGGUUCCAAAACUAGAAAUAACUCACUUCUUCGUUCAAAACAUGCAAACUUUUAUCUUCUUUUUUUUAUCUAUUGUAUUUUGAAUUUUCUUGUGCUUCUGAGUGUGUAUAUGUAUGCAAGUUUUACAAAAAUAGUUAAUCACGUUGAAAGUAAAUUGCGAUUUCUAGUAAACUUUAUAUAUAAUGUCAAGGUUUUAAUAUUGGAGUCACCACUUUGAGGACUUUACCCGACAUUACUCUUAAAGAUUAAUGUCAUAAUUGGUCAAGGACCAAAUGUCUGCUUGUUUAACCUUUAUUCUGCUACUACCACAAAAAUAGCGCAUCACAAGGGCAUUCUUACACAUAAAAUAGGUUUGGGGAAUUCCCUAUGGUAAAAUCUUAAUUGACAGUCUCUGAAACACCAAUAAAAACAUGCCACAAACUAAUACAUUUUUAUACAUACUAAUUUUACUUUUGCUUGAAGUAAAAUUUUAAAAGAUUCUAACAGAUAAAAUUGGUUUAGGUAAUGAUACUUACACAUAAAAUUCUCUUCACUUCUUUACCUUGCUUAUUUGCAAAAAAAAAAAAAAUUAAAAAAAUCUUGAUGAUUUUUUUAUUAUUUCUUGCUUUAUUAUUAUACAACUCAAAUUUAUAUGAUGUUGAGUCUAAGCACAAGAGUUAAGGUCAACAUGUAGAUUUAAGAGUUUUUUCUACCUGGGUAGCAUUUGUCUUUUUAUCCUCGAGCCUCCAUAAAGGAGAGUCAGUAUGCUUAUCAAGAAGCAAUUGCAUACAUGGAAUUGUUGAUUCAUGGGUCUGUUUUCGCUACUACUGCAAGAUCAUGGGACUGACAUUGGCACAUCCUAAUAGCCAGAUUCACAAAACAUCUUCUAGGUAGUUGUUUCUUGCGACUUUUUUACGUUCUGAAAAGGUUAAUCCGAAAUAUAAUUUUACACUCUGAAAAGGCUAACCGAGAAUGUAAUUUUACAUUCUGGAUGGAUUAGUUUUUCCAGAAUGUAAAAGACGUCAUUAAUUCAAAAUAUAAGUUAGCCUUUCUGGAAUCUAAAAAAGGUGUAGGAAGCAAUUUGUAAGGUGCAUUGGAAUUAUUGUUACUUUGUAUAGGCCUAGUUAAGGACAUUAAAUGAAACAAUUGCUUUUUGAAAAGGUUGUUGCUAUUUGCACCUUAUUUACUACUAUACUCUACUUUUCUUCUUAAAUUACCAUUAUCUUUUUCUUCCUCUAAUAUAACCUUUACUGUUUUUUUUUCCAAGAUAAACACUCCCUUCUCUAAACACUACCUUUAUUUGGAUUAGGAGAUUGCUUAGAGUCUUAUUCUUCCUCAAAUACAACCUUUACUUGUUUUUCUUCUACAUAGACACCCCCUUCUCUAGACAUUAUCUUUAUUUGAAUUAGGAGACGUUGUUUAGAAUCUUUGGGCAUUCAAGAGAAACUUUUACCUGGUUUUUUUCAAGAUAAACACCUGAGUGUUGCUAGGUGCACCCAACAUUCUUUAAAAAUGGAAAAAUUGUCCCUGCUAAUUUCUCCCCUUAUGAAUCAAGUUGAUCCGUAAAAGACUUACGGAUCAAGUUGAUCCGUAAAAGACUUACGGAUCAAGUUGAUCCGUAAGUCUUAAAAAUUAACUUACGGAUCAACUUGAUCCGUAAGGGAUAUUUUUGUCUUUUUGUGGUCAGUGCUGGGUGCACCUAGCAGCACUCUAAACACCUCCUCUAGGCACUACCUUUAUUUGGAUUAGGAGACGUUUAGAAUCUUCGAUCAUUCUAGAGUGCUACAAAAAUAUCCUUGUUUUUGGUGCAUGGUAGUGUUUUCUUCAUGUGUUUGUGUCAUGGUGAUUGUCGCUUUGGUGUGGAUAACAGAAGAUUCGUAGGUUCAAGUUUUUCUUAGUUGAGGGAAGCCUACCACAUAAUUAAGAAAUUCAAUUAAGGUAAAAAGGGUUUAAUGUAAGUAAAUUAAUAAUUUUAAUUUGUGAAAUUGUGAUGGUGAGAAAUUGAUGCCGAUUUUGGCUAGAAGUGGGUUUCAGAACCUAAUCUGUAUCCAAGUGAAGUUGAAUUUGUAUGACGUUCUCCAAAAGCCUUAGUUGCUUUAGGGCAAUAAUGGGUAGAGAGGGGGUGCAUUUUUUCUAAAAGAAAAUGGGUAAAGAGAAUUCUAUAGGAGGAAGAAAAAAAAUGAGGGCAUAUAAAAUAAAAGGAAAAAGUAAUGUUGGGGUAUAAUAGUAAAAAGGAGGUUCAAAUGACAUUUGCCUUUAAAAUCGAUGUAAAAGUAAUACAAAUAUUGUUAUUGAAUUAGUUUAUGGUUUGGUCCUUGGGAUUAACACAAGCGCUUACCAUGCGUAGAGCUUACAAUUCGAGUCUGUCCGGUUCAUUUGGGUUGGUCCAUUACAAAUUUACAAGCUACAUACUUUCAAGUUGAGAAAUUUUGCUAGUCCAUCCUAAUACAUGGGUUGAGAAAUUGAAGCUUUGUUUGAAGCAGACGAGGGGAAUAACUUUUUUUUUAGAGGACGAAGGGAAUAACUCAAGUAAGAAGUAUCCUCCGAGAAAAAAAAAAAACAAAGACCCAGGUUCGAGGCUGUCGUCGGUGGGCUCAGAGAUGACAUAGAAAAUCACACAAGCGGCAUGAAAAUAGGGCGCUAUUACCUUGCAACUAGCACAAAGCUUGGCUUGUAGCAACAGCUCUAUCAACAGAAGCAAAUCGUGGUGGCAAUAACGCUAUUAUUAUUAGCAAUAGCAAAGUCUGGUAUCAAUCUAUACGAAAUGUGAUGUCACAAUUAUAAACUUGGGGUGAAUGGUCAAGGACUAGAUUCUUUAUGAUAAACAAAAACAUCUAUAGCCCUUCACUUGGAAGCAGAACCUAAGGUGAUGCAUUGCUAGAUAAUAGUAGUAUUAAUUUGCAAAGAAAUGGGGAAGAAAGUAAAGGCUACCCAAUAUAAUAUUAGAGAGUUUGAGAUCAUUCAGAAAGUUAUUUAGUAUUUCACUUGGACAACUCAACCACUGUAGAUAUCACCCACAAGUCACAAUGUGGGGAUACCAUUGUACAAGUCCAUGAAAAUGGAAGAAUUUUAUUCUUUAGGACAGAGACAGACUACCAAGGUUUUCAUUGCGCACUUAAGACUUCGAUUUCAAAUUCCAAGACAGAGUUGGGCCGUAUUCCCCAAGCAGGAAAGCCACCAGCACCAUAAGCAUAAUCCGGAGAGCACUGCAAGAUUAUCAACAAUAUGAACAACAGGGUCUAUUCAAUUUAAUAACCUUCCACUUAAGAAGAAAGUAACAAACAAACCAAGAGCUAAGAAUCAAGGAAAUACAAUGAAUUUGGGACCAACAACCUUAAAUGGAUUCCCUUUCCCAGGAAAGUUCAACAUAUGGUAAGGCUAAUUUUGUAAUGUCACCUCUACCAAGAACACUCAGUUGGAUAUAAUGUCAGAAAAAAGAAAUUGAAUUAUGCACAUGAAAGCAUAUAUAUGUUGCGUUGAAAAUAGACAUCAAGGAUUUUCCAACAAGUGACAAUCUGAGCCAUGACAAAGAUUCUAAGACACUAGGAUAUUUUGACCAUCUUUAUAUAUAGCGAAAAGUUUCAGAACCAAGGGAAAAACAAGAUGGAUCGCAUAAUAUUCACAAUGAUUAAAGUGAGAACAAGUAACAUCAAAAUCAAAGAAUAGCUAGUACUUAGUUAAUAGCUACAAGUUUCGUAAUGAGAGAAAAAGUAAGAUUUAUAGGAGAUAAUGUCAUAAUGUAUGCAAUAGUUUUCAAGUGAGAACAAGAAGUAAGAGCAUAGAAAUAUUACCCGGAGACGAGCAACUUCACCAAUUUGCAUGCCAAGCACACCUUCAUCCCAUCCUACAGUGGGAAAAUAAAUCAAAAUGGGAAAAAGAUAUUAGGUGUCUACACAUGUGAAUCAAGAUACAAACUCUUAUACAAAUCAAUAGUAUUAUGUAUGUAAAAGCAAGAGGAAGAGAGUGAAAAUGGUAAGUAUUAUUAGUGGAUUGGUAUACAUAGAUACCUUUGAUAACAGAACCUUGGCCGAUUUUGAAAGUGAAUGGGUUCUGGCCAGGAUCCUUUGUGCUGUAAGUAAGUGUAAGAUAAGGAGAGUUAAUUAAUAAAGAAGGAAAGGAAAGGAAAGGAAGAGAAAUGAUAUAGGUAGGUAACCUCCAGAAUUUCUGAGAAAGGUCACCGUUCUUCCCUGCUCACAAAAUCGACAAGCACAUCAAACAACAGCUAGAUCUCACCUAAUAAGGAACGCUCAGAGAGAGAUUUAGGGUUUAGAAAGGGAGAAUGACUAAGUCUAACUCACCGAAACCAGUGCAGUGAACGGUUACGUUCUGACCGGGAAUUGGCUUCGGACCGGUGCCAGACCUCAACAACUGCUUCUCCACUCCCAUCUCCUUUCUUUCUUUAGCUUCUCUUCUCCUCUCUCCUCUCCCCUCUUUAGCUCCGCUGCUCUUCUUUUAAAUUGGUUCUUCUCUAAUGUCACACUAGUUCAUCAAUUUGAUGAUAAGUGACAAAUUGUGACAUGUUAUAUUAUCUAAAGCUUAAAAGUAACAUUAAAUUUGUUCUUCAUAUUAGCCCACUAGUUGAUUUUAAUUAAAAGACUUAAGUGUCCAAUUAUUUAUGUUAAUAUUUUUUUUUAUAAAAAAAAAGUAUAUGUGAAAUUAAUCUUUUUUAACUUUUUUUAAAGAUAUGAUUUUUCUUUCUACAAUAUGAUAAAUUUUUAGAGAUAAAAGACUAAAUUAACAUGUGUUUUGAUAUAAAGUGUGGAGAUGUUGAUCACAUUUGAGUAAAAAUAUAGAAACUUUAAAAAUGCAUUACUCUCUUUCUAAACUAUUAUUUCAAAUCAAAUAAACACUUUUUUGUUAUUAAAAAAAAACUGUACCAAUUUUUUAUUUGUGCACCUUAUCUCUUUUGUUACGGGGUAUAAUUAUUUACAUAUCGGGGAAACACAGACAGUACAAAUACAGACAAGUUCUAUCUUCAAAAUGAAUGACACGGCCCACAACAAAGCAGCAGCCAAGCCAUUCCACACACCUGUCCCAUGAUUUCGAGAUGUUUCAAUCAAUCUAAAAGAAAAAAAGUUAGAUGAACACCCAUUAUAUUAUUUAAUAAUUAGAGAGAUAAAAAAAAUAAAAUAAAAUAUAAAUAUGAUAAAAUUUAUGUUGAAAUAGAGAGAUAAAUAAAAAAAUAAAAAAGAUAUUUAUAUAUCAUCAUUCAUAGAUAAUUAUCAGUUUCUUUCAUCGGAUUUUCAGAUAUAAAUCCCCAAAAUGUCGAAUAAUAUUAUGAAGAUCAUCAAAGGUAACUAAAAGUAUCCAGCCUCUAGAUAAUUUUCCUUAUAUUUACGGCUAAACCACACGUUUGAUGCCAAAGUUGUAGAGUUAAUCAAUGAAUUCUUAAAAUAAAUAAUCCUAAAUUUAACUCAAAGCACGUUGACGGUGUUGGAAGUUUUAACGUAAAACACUGCCCUCACACGGGAAUCAUCAAUCAUAUCGAAAUACUAAACAUAGUAACUGACUCGUGGUAAAAUUGCACAACUCCUCUGCGCCUCACACCCUCCUCCUCCUCCGUUACCCCGUUUCUGUCUACCCUGUAUAAAUAGUACCAACUUUUAUUCCGCUUUCUGCUCAGUGAUUCAUUCUCAGAGUCACACACACGCACAUAUAUUUUCUUCAUCUUCGUACACCACUGUCUCAUCAUCUCCUUUUCCUUGUUCUGGUGGCGCUCUUGAUUUUCAGAUGACAACAGCAAUUGGGUGAAACGUGAACGCCACCACCGAUCGGGGUUUGCCAAAACCUUACAAUGGAGGUCGAAAGGAUGAGACAGUUGAUGCUGAUGUGGUGUAGAAUACGAAGCAACCGUGUCGCUCUUGUGGGUGGAAACCAUACCGCUGCCAGGUUUUGCAGUCGCUGAAAUUCUCUCCUUCCUAUAUCGCUGGCUUUGUUUGUUUUUUCUCUUCCAACUUUACUCAAUAGGAUCUCAUCUCGCUCGGUUAAUUUAAUCAUCGAUGGGGAGCACGAUGAAGAAUAAGCAUUUGCACGAUGGAAGAACAAUUGCUGCUCUCAACCCCGAAAGUUUCCUCGUUAUCAGGAUUCCCGAUGCGCUUGUUUUGCGCAUUCUGUCUCGCUCAUUGUUCGUGGCCAUGGUUCUUGCUGCCUUGCCUUUCUUGGGAACUGUUCUCAAAGGAUUCUAUUUCUCUUCCAGUUUUGUUCCCAAUGUCGAAACUGCAGCCGCAUCUGGGUCUCUCGAUGUGGGACUAUUGAAUUCGAUUCUACAUGAUUUCGCUCAUGAGGGUCUCCUCAGAGAGAACGAUAAGGCACUCGUUCUGAACUCUCCCCUUCCUAAUGUCUUCAGGGAAAAGAUUGAUGUUGUCAUGGAUUCUGAUUGGGAAAGUAAGAGCUUGUUUGCUGAUGUGUCUUAUGAUUUUGUGUUCACCUCUGGUGAUAUUGAUGCUGAGUUUAUUGAUCGCAUUCUGAAAAUUGAUGGCAUUGUGGCUCUCCCGUUGGGGUCUAAACCGUCUAAUUCUGCUUUCAAAGAACAAAAUAAUUAUAGAGUUGUUUCCCUUAAGCGAUAUGGAACUGCUGUUGUUGUUGCAUUGAAGAAAACUGGGCCAGCCGUUAGGUUGGUAGAUUCUGAUUCUUCGCCAAAGAGGAAGCUUUUGGCGACAAAGACAGAGGCCAAGAGUGUGGCAUUGAAGGGUCUUGAAGAUGUUCUCUUGGAGCCUCCGAGAAAGGCUUUGGUUAAAUCAAGGAAGUACUUGAACAAGAUCAAGUAUUUACCUGACUUGGUGGGUGAUUCUCUUGAAGGUUACAAAAGAAGAGUCUUCAUUGGUGUAGGAUUGCCUGAGGAGAACAAGGGUGUGAUGCAAUGGUUUAAGGAGAACUAUCCCAAGAAGAAUACUAAGUUUGAGACUCACAGCGUCGCGGUUGUGCCGGAAGACCAUUUCGCCGUUUCUGCUUGGUUGUCUAAGAAUGUGAAGGAGGAAGAGUACGUUGUGAUGAAGGCAGAAGCAGGGGUGGUGGAGGAGAUGAUGAAGACGAGGACAAUAAGGUUGGUGGAUGAACUCUUCUUAGAGUGUAAGAAUGAGUGGUGGCAGAGGGGGAAGACAAUGAAGAAGAACGAAAGAACUUAUUGGGAGUGCUUGGCUUUGUAUGGAAGGGUGAGGGAUGAAGGAGUUGCGGUUCACCAAUGGUGGGGAUAAUUAAUUGAAUAUUGAAGCUUUUAAUUAGCUUGGUGUUUCUCUGAUGUGCUCUGCAGUGUUUGUUACCACUUACUAUUUCUUGGUUCGCUUCUAUCUACUGUGUUUAAUUUUCAGUGUUUGGUUUGUUUCUGUUAUUCUGUGUGUGAAUUUGCGCCUUAGGAGAACUGCACGUGCCGUGAGUUAUGCAUGCUUGUGCUCCUUUUCCAUGGUGCUAUUGCUUAUGAUGUGAUAGUGCUUAUAAAUAAAAGGCUUGUUAUCUUUACUUCUUUGCCUCUUUUCCAUGAUUGCGUUAUGUGAUGAAGUGUGUAAUGGGGUGUGAAUAAUUUAGUCAUGUGAAUAAUGGGCACCACUUUUAUAAUAUUCUUCAACAACAAUGAUGAAUAACAAGAUAGACAGAAACUCACAAACAAAGAACCCAAGCAUUUGUAGCGAGAGAAUAUAAUUAAUAAAAGAAUCUUAGCUUCUACUAAUAUUUCAUUAGUGUAUUUAAUAAGAGAAUCAAGUCAAUCAUGUCCCCGCAUUUUUAGGACAUCUGUACGUUGGUUCCUUCAUUGGUGAAACUUUGCAGGAUACAAAACGAAUCAAUAUUGGUCUAGUGAGAUAUCUUUGCUAUGGAAAACAAAAAUGGAUCUGCAUUUCUGCAGUUACAUUUCACACAUUUAAUCUUGCAGUCAUGAUCCAACGACUAAUUUUUUUUUUAUUCUUAUAAUUCAUAAAUUUUGUAAAGAUUAAAAAUAAAAAGUUUAGAUUGAAAUGAUAUGGUAUCUUCUCAAGUUUUGAAUCUUCUCUAUUUUGGAAAAAUGAUUGAGCGGUUUUUCCAAGAGAAGUGUGAACGUGAACCUUGAACCUGAAUAUGAAUUGUUAUAAACGGCACUUUCAUUCAUUCUUGUUCUUGUAAAUAAAAGCUAUCCUUCAGAAAUCACCAAUUUAAUAUGGUUAAUUUAAAAAUUUGAAUAAUGGUCCCCAGUUACAGUUAAACCGUGAUCUUAUAGUUAUACCACCGACACAAAAUUAUCUUUCCUUGCAAAGGAUCGUGGGGUCCCAUUUCCCCUACUCUUAAUUUCUAUGAUAAUUAAAAAGUUUCUUCAGACAAGAUGGGGCUGUAGUUUAGUGGUAAGAAUUCCACGUUGUGGCCGUGGAGACUAGGGCUCGAAUUCCAGCAAGAAUUUUAAUUGAAGUAUCUGAAAUUAUUAAAAUUUAAAAUUUCUCAGUUCAAACACACUCUUAGUUUAUGAGUUAAAACUUCGAACAGAAACAACGGCGUUUGAGAUAUCGCCUUAAAGUCCAGGUCAACGCACCCUUGCUUUUUUUAAGAGUUGAGGCUACGCUUAACGCUCCCUGCGUGUUCCCGAUCCAACAAACAACUUCGUUCCGCGACUAACAAGGUCAAUCUCUCUCAUUCAUAACUUCUAAUUUAUAUUUCUUUUUUUGAAUCUGUUCGUAUAAUAUGACGGAGAAUUCAAUUCGUUUACAUUGAUUAUUAUAAAGCAAUUCAUUUGAUAUCUGUGUUGCUUAAUUAUUUGGUUUUAUUUUUUCUCAUCUCGUCCAGAAAGUAAGAGAUAUGAUUGAUGAUGAAGCCUUGGGAGUCAUUGCCAACAUUCUUGGCAUCUUCAUUUUUGCUUUGGUUAUAGCUUAUCACCUGGUCACUGCGGACCCCAAAUAUAAAGUCAUCUAAGAUAUUUGAAUUUAAUUUCUGAUGUAUUCAAAACAAAAAUUUUCAUGGAUUCAAUUUUGUUGAUUGAUCUGUAAGAUCAGUUUCUUUCUAUGUAUGACUUAAUAUUGAUGAAACCACAAUUCGAUUGAGGCUUAUGCAGGCUAAAUCUUCAAUAUUUUAGAGGCGUAUGUUAACCAUGUUGGUGUUUUGGUAUAUAUAGAUUAACUAUGGAUGCCUAAUUGCUCAAUGCGCAUGGAAUUGUGCAGAUUAAGUACUCACGAUUGACCCCUAUUCAUUUUCCUUGGUUGCCAUUGGCCAAAAUUUUAUAAUAGGAACCACAAACUCCUGAAUAAUAGACUCUGCUUUUGUUUUUUUUUUUUUUUUGCUCAAAAUUUAGAGGAAAAAUAAAUUAUACUUUAAUGCAACAUACAUUUUGCUCAAAAGCCAAAGAGAAACAUAUGAUGCUCCAUUACAUGGUGCUACAUGGCAUAUUUCACUCAAUCAAAGGAUAACAAACAAAGUAAAUAAACACGAUGGGAAUUGAAAGCUUGUGCGUGAACCUUUAUUUUACUGCACAUACAUGCUAAGCAACAUUGAUUACGCUACAUUAAUCAACUGUGGUCUGUGGAGCAUAUAUACUUGUAGCAAAUAAUGCAACAACUCAAGGAUUGGUAGUUGUGGAAGGUGGUGAGAAGGGUGGAAGUGUGCGAAUUAAGGGUGAAGGCAACCUAUACUCUGGCCAGUCUGUUACUGGUGGGAAUGGAGGAAAAAUCACGCGAGGAGGAGAAUUGUUCAUAUUGGGCAAUGUGGGUGCCAGAAGUUUUCUACUGGCUUGGACAUUGCCAAUGGAUAAAAGUGACAAAGCAAUGAAGAAAAAUGAUAGGAGAAGCACACGGAAGGAGGCCAUUUUAGUAGUAUGAGUAAGUAUGGGAAAAGUUGAGGGGAUUCGUGGUGAUGAGACAAGGACCUGCCCUUGAGCUUUUAUAGUGCACCUUAGAAGAAGAGGAAUUCGCCUAAAGAACGGUGUUUUAUGUGUGGAUCGUUACACCUCAUCCACGUCGGUUUUAAAUGGCUUCAAAUGUUGGGAGGGCAUUACUCUCGGACUCUGACAACGGUAUCUUGAUAUAGAUGCAAAAGUGUCCCCCUCCCACUUCAUGCAUUUUAAUGUCGUUUUAUAUUUUCACUUAGCGAUCUUUUUCUUGAUGUUAAAUUUGUAUCAAGAUGCUAUUUCCCAGAUUAUUAGUGAAAUGUCUUGUUUGAGGGGGAGGGGAGGGACUUCUUGCUAGAAUGUAAGUAGUUGUAAAAAAAUUCUAUAGUGGAUAGGAAUAAACAAAUUGAUGAACGUAUAAAUGACAACAACCAGUACUUACAACAUGUUUAGGUUUUGUUUGCAGGGCUUGGAUGUGCAUUUGUAGAAGUAAUUCUUUUUUUUAAGAGGGGAGCAAUUUUUGAAACUCAAUGUAUCUUUGGUUAAGAGGGGAGUUCAUACAAUAGGUAGCCAGCUAGGUUUUGUAGCAUAGAUUAGCAGGCUGUAAUAGAUAUUUCACACUAUAGUUUACGUGAAAUUCAAUGUAGUUCAUAGGCUUUAGUGUCCCUAAUUUUGGAUUGGAUGGAGUAUAAGUUUACUUGUGUGAUUUGUUUGUAACCUAUUACUGAAAACUCUCCUAACUCUUCAUGAUAGAUUCUAGUGAUUGUUUUGGGGUGGCACUUUCAGUAAAUAAUAUAAGUAAAAGGUCUUAUAUAUACUAAAUAAAAAUGAACACGCAACGAGAUCAUAAAUCUAGUGUUAUUAUCAGAUUUAUUCUUCUCGUAUUCCUAAUAUUUUUAUAAUUUUUUUCCUAUUUUUAGCUAAAUAGUUUGAAAGUCACAUAGGAAAAAAUUAAAAAUAUUUUUUUAGGCUUAAUUAUAUUUUUUAUCCUUUAGGUAUUAUCAUUGUAUGAUUUGAGUUCAUCAGCCGAUUGCACCAAUUAAGUUAAAUAUUGUAAUAUAUAAUUUUAAUUCCCUAAGUUGAAAUCAUAUAAAUUAAAUCUCUUAAGUAUUGUAAUAAUUUAAUUUUAGUUUUUCUAUUAGAUAAAAUUUACUAAUGUUGAAUUGACUAAUGACAUAUCAGUUGCACGAUGAUGUCAUGCUGAUAUGAUUAUUUGAUUUUGCAUGUAUAAUUUUAUUCCUCAAAAUUUAUAAUUAUUUGAUUUUAGUCUCCAACUUUUAUAAUUGUUUGAAAUAAAUUUUUCUUAGUUAAAUUAAAGUCUCAUUAAAAACCAACGUAGUUAAAAUAUACUUUUUCUCUCCCCCCAACUCUCCAAUUUAAGAGAACUCUUAAAAGUAGUUAAAGGAGGAUUUUGAAGGCUUAGCGAAAAAUUAUAAUUUAAAUUCCGCAACUAAAUUUAGCUUUGCAUUCUGGAGUUUAUUUACCUUUCACCUUCUUUCUUCACAGGUCGUGUCUACUGCCUACAGUUCACCGCCCAAACGGCCAUCACUCACUUGGUCCCAGAGCUGUUGGCUAAAGAUAAUGCCUCCAUAAUGAAUGUACACAUUAUUAGAGCAGAGAAAUGCAUUUCAAUUCAUGUAAGAGAAUAUGUGGUUGAUGUACCUGACAUGUGCUUCUUAAUUCUUAUGGAUUAACUGUUAUAUUUAUAGACAGCAACGCCUUUCUCCUUUGGCAAUUACUAGUAGUAAUCAAUGUUUUCUUAGAUAUUACUCCAUUAAGAAAUUAAAAGUGAGUUUUUUCUUAAAAUAAUUUCAUUUAUUUUUCUUAUAAGUUUAAAUAUAUAAUUAUAUUUAGAUUUAUAAUAAAUAUUUUAUAUUGUGAUACAAGAUUUUUUUUUUAUUGUUGAUAAUUUCUUUAAAAAUUAAGGUGGAACGGAUAGAUUAAAAGAGAGAAAAUAUUAAAAAAAUUCUUAAAAGCAUUCUUGUUAAAUAAUAAUUCUUAAAAUACUCUCAUUUAAAAUAGUUAUUUUAAUUUUAUAUAUUUUAGUAUAGAAAGAACCAGAAUUAAAUUCCAAGACCUCUCAUAUCUAUCCCAAUCCCUCGCCACUAGCUAAGGUUUAUAAGUUAAAUUUAUCUCUUAAAAAAUAUUCAGUUUAUCUUCUAUUUUCUAGUUUCUACUGUUAUCAAUAUUUAUUGAGAAGUUUAUCUAAACUAACCUGGACAUAGUUUCUAAUCACAAGAUUGCAUCUCUGCUCAUGGCAGUAAGAUUUGCAUGUAUCUAAACAUCUAUAAUGAUGGAUGUUUCAUGCAAAGGCUGCCCUUUAAUAAAAUGGAUUGGGUAAGCAUUUAAAUCAACUGCUCUUGUUGUCGGAUUAAUUACUUCAAAACAAGAUGGCUAAUUCGCUUUUCAAACUGAAGUACACCAUACCAUAGUUACCAUACGUAACAUUUACUCCUGAAGUGUAUUUGGAUGUUACUAAGCCACCAAAACUGAAUUCAAGUGGGGCCAAAUAAACUUAGAUUUAGCUACUAGUCCCUUUGUCUACUGUUUAUGUAAGAAAAAAAUUACUAGUAUUAACUCUGUUAUUGCUACUCAUGACAAUAUGAAUGAAAUUUGUUUCCUGUGGCCACAAAGCAUUUUGCCUUCAGCAUUUCUCCUGCCUCAUGACAAUUUGUUAUAACAAAGUUAUUGCUUGUUGUAUAGUUCGAGAUUUUCUGAUUAUUCCGAAUAUUUGGAUCCCUUAUUACAAAAAAUUAGUAUGAAACUGUUUCUCAUUGAUGAGAGUUUUGUGAAGUUCAUAACUUGUACGUAGUAUAUAUUGUUUGAUCUGAACGGCUGAACCCUCUCUGUUAAUACCAAUGUACACUAGGAAGCACUUAUGCUUAAGUUUCUAAGAAUACGUUAUUUUUGGUCGAUAACCUUUUUCUAUUGUUUAAAACAGUUAUAUAUCACAUAAAGUUAUUACUAGCUAGUACAGGGAAGUUCAAGUAGUGUGGAACUAUAAUUAUUGUUGUUACAACUCACUUAUAUGAGAUUAUAAUUAACACCAGAUUUCAUGAUUAGCAGUUCACAGUGCCUCGUUUUGCUAUAUUUAAUUACUUCUUUCUUUACUCUUAUUACGUGGUAUAAACUGCUUGAGCUAUGUAAGCUAAACGUUGAGAUUUGAGAAGUGAAAAUCCAAGGGCUGAAGUGAAAUAAUCUCGGUGAUGUAAAUAUAAUUAAGAUGUUGGAAGAGCUUAAAAGGAGGAGACAUAUCAUAAAUUCAUAAUUGUAUAACUGUGUAAUCGUAGUCACAAUCUAUAAUAUAAUAAAAAGUACAAACAAAAACAAGCAACUCAUAAAUUGAAAAGAAAAUACACUGUUUUUCUCACACCAAACAACAGAAACACAAGGAAAACACCAUACAAUGCUCUCGCAUAAGCGAAAUUAAGGAAUCAAGCCAUAUCUAUUGCAUGCAUUCAACUUGGCAGAGAUACCAAAGUCAGAGGAAUUAAUUAAAGGUAUUUUUAAGGGCUAGAGGUGGAAGGUGGUGGAGAUAGGAAAGGAAUGGAGGGCAUAGUGGUUGGAAUUGUGAAUGUGGGGAUUGAGGGAAUGUUGGGCAAUGAAGGAAUGGUAGGGAUGCUGCUGGGAAGUGGAGGCAAAGUGGUAGGCAAAGAUGGUAGGGUAGGUUGUGGCAGUGUUGGGAUUGUAGCCAAGGGUGGAACAUUGCCCUGAGGCAGUGUUGGAAGUGAAGGCAAAGGUGGAAAUGUUGGUUUAGGCAAAGUGGGAAUGCCAGGCAAAUUUGGUGCAGUUGUUUGCAUAAGAUGGCGAGCUGCUUGGCUCAUGCUCAUGCUUGACAAGGUCAGAACAAAAAGGAAAGCUGUGAUCAAUGCUUUGCUCGAGGCCAUUGCAAGAAUGAAGAAGAAUAACAAUUUCCAAAAAUGAAAAUGGUAUGUAUUUGCUUUGAGAAUUGGAUGAGAGGCUGAAGCAUAGUACAUGGUCUUAUAUAGGGCCAGAGACUAGAGAGUCUUUUGGUUGGUUUCAGUUCAACUUUGUUUGGAGAACCAAAUACCAAUCUUUUUGUUAGUUCACCUUCCAGUAUUUGAAUAAAUCAUUUUAUUAAGUUGGAAUAAUAUUGUGGUUGGCUACUAUUAAGUUAUAGCCCCCAAUAUUCAAAUGUAGGAUGACCAAUUCAGAUUUUGUAUGUAUCAAAGAAAGAGAGAAUUGGGGUUGGAAAACGGGGAAUACCCAAGAGUUGAGUUGGUUAAUCUAACUGGGUUUACCUCAGCUGCCUGCCAGACGUCACCCUUUACAGCUAAUGGCGUUUCACAGUCACACUUUAGGCAUACACGUAUUACUACUAUUUCAGCCUUUAUUUGGCUUUGACCACAAUAUAAUUACAAGGACUUUAUUUUCGUAACCUUUUUUAUUUAUCUUUUUCACUAUUUUUUAUUUCAACGACAGAAUAAUACUGACACAAAGCUUCAAACUUACAUCCUCUCACAUAAAAAAAUAAACAAUAUACAUAGAUUAAUUAAUUUAUUCCAAGAAUAUUUUUUAAAAUUAUUAUUUAAUCUCAUCAUUUAUUUUCUAAAAAUCUAAUCAUCAUAAUAAAUAUUUAAUCUUAACAUUAAAUUUUUAAAAAAUAAAUAAUCAGAAUAAAAAUAAUUCCAAAAUAAUUACUUUUAGAAUAAGUUAUAUAUAUAUCAUCCUCUUAAUUAAUGGCAGUAGUAUAUCAAGUAUCCACCAGUACAAGAAAAAAAAAUAAUUAUCCUUUGACGCAACAUACAUUUGCUCAAAAGCUAAAGGAAGACAUAUAUAAUAUGCUCCAUUACUAGGUGCUACGUGACGUAUUACACUCAAUCAAAGGGUAACAAAACAAAGAAGUAAAUAAACAUAUAUGAUAGGAAAUGCUUUUGCGUGAGCCUAAUUUAUUUUUUUAUUGCAGAUACAUGCAAUACAACAUGGAUAUGAGUAACAUGUAUCUGCUGCGGAUCAUAUAAACUACUUAAGGGUUGCAAGUUGUGGCUGCAGGAUCGGAGGUGAGAGGGUGAAAGUUGUGCCGGAAGUUUUCUACUGGCUUGGACAUUGCCAAUAGAAAAAAGUGACAAAACAAUGAAAAAGAAAGAUAAGAGAAGCACACAGAAGGAGGCCAUUAAUUUUAGUAUACAGUUGGAAUAGUGCAAGAGGAUACGUGGUGAUGAGACAAAGACCUGCCCUUGAGCUUUUAUAGUGCACCUUAGAAGAAGAGGAAUUCACCUAAACAACCGAUAUAGAAAGUUUUUUUUUUAAGUAGUGAACGGUGUUUUUUGUGUGGAUCGUUACACCUCAACGAUGUCGGUUUUAAAAGCCAUCAAAUGUUGGGAGGGCUUUACUCUCUCUUACUACAAUUAAUAUAUGUAAGAUAUUGGUGUAAAAGUGACCCACUUCAUGCAUUUUAAGUGUGUUCUAUCUUUCAGCUAUAUAUAUGGUGUGUUUGGAAGAAAUAUUUUAAGAAGGAAAAUUAAUUCUCAAGAGGAUUUAUAUUUUUUUUUUGGACAUUUUAUUAAAAGAAAUUUUAAUUAACUAAAAAAGACGAUUUCUAAAUGUUUUUCUCUACUUAUGCAAUUUGUUAUAUAUAUAUAUAUAUAUAUAUAUAUAUAUAUAUAUAUAUAUUCGUUUUUCUGACUAUGGAUCAAUACUAUAACUUUGUAAACUGUUAGUUUUACACCAAUGACCUCUUCUGUCAUUGUUUUGCUAAGAGGGCAUGGUAGGUCAAUGCCACUGGCAACGCCAUGAGCAAUACAAACAAGACCCUGAGACCAAAACUAGAACAGCAUUCAAUCAUAGUUAGGCUAUAUGCAAUGCAAAGGUUAUCAAAGAGAUAUGCUAAAAAAAUUACUGACCCAAUGCUUAAAUUAAAUGGCCUCUCUGUCGAAGGAGUAAGUACCAUAAUAUAAGAGUAUUGACUAUUGAAGUUUUGUUUCUAAAAGAGUACAGAAAAGAAAGAAAUGAUCACCUGAAUAAUUGCCACUUUGAGCAUUCUAUCUUGGCAAAUAAUAUGCAUACCUCCCUUAAUUCAUAAAAUAUACCUACCUUCUCCCUUUUUUUAAUUGAUUUUCGUUCUUAGUUUAGAACAAUUAUCUCCAUUAGUUUUCCUUCAAUUAUCUCCAUUAGUUUUCCUUCUUAGUUCCUUAGCAGUAGUACAGCAGUAUAGUAGCGUUCGUAACAUAUUGUUAUAAGGAUGAUGUGAAUUAUUGUUGUGUUAUAGGGAUGCCUGUUAUUGCAACAAAAUUUUCAUGAAACUUAUUUCUGUAAAUGUUGAACUAGAGAUGCAACGAAUUUGCAAUUAUUCUGAGAGAUUAUUUUAUGGUGAGAUAUUUUACGUCAAUGAAUUUUAUGAUCCAUGCUCUUUCUUGCAUAAUAUAAGCAAACAUUCUCGAAACAAUUAUGAGAAUGACCAGAAUUAGGAACCAAAAGCUGGCUUUUUAAAAUUCUGUCCAACUGUAAGGGGGUUGAGAGGAACUUAAUCAGAAGCAAUAAUUUUAUUUGAACCGACUUCUUGUCAUCUUCCAUUGUUUUUUGUUUUUGCUGUUUUUUUUCUUAUUUUUCUUUUAAUUGGGUUUAAUAUGGACAAUGGGAUUCUUGAUGCCACAACAAUGAACUGGAUGGAUUCUUAAAUAUUUAUCCAAGUACCCAUAUCCAUCAAGUUAACCUAAAUUGUCUUAUAUUUUGUCAAAUUAUGUUAGGUAGCCUUGUAUUAAAUACUUUCCUUCAAUCUCAAAUAUAAUCAACAAAAAUUCACUUAUUCUUGUUAUCUCAAAUAUAAAUAAAUUUCAAUUUCUUAGGCUUUAUUUAACAAAAUUAUCUUCAUUUAAUAAGAUCAAAAUCUUUUUUUAUGCUUAAUAUCAAGUUUCAAUAAAAAAUAAUUUAAAAAAAUAUUUUUUUUAAUUGAAAAUCACGUAAUUUCAUAAAAUUAAUUCAUUUAUUUUAAUAAGUGUGAAGUAUGUCCUUUGUGGCUUAUAAUCGACAGCGGAAGGAGUAACUCGAUCGGAAUUUAGAAACUUAGGAAAGUCAUGUGCAUGUAUUCAUAAAAGGUAACAUAUGAAUUGUUUAUUAUAUAACGUGUAUUACAAGUAUAACAAUAGAUGAUCUCCAAGUACAUGAAGUAAGGAGGGGGAUGAAAAAACAAUAAUCCUAUGCAUACAAGUUCGAACAACAAAGGAAAAUGAAAGAUUAAAAUAAACAUUCCUCAGCAGUAAACGAACAAUGUAUAAUAUCAUCAUCACACGUCUAAUGUAUGGAUCAAACUCCAAAGAUGAGUGUCUAUCAAACACAAGCAGAGUAGCUUCAUUCAGGGAGCGGUGGCUGAAGGUGGUGGGGAGAAGAAGGGGAAGGAGGGGAUGGUGGGAAAGUUUGGAAGUGAAGUGGCAGCAAGUGGUGGAAGGGUCACCUGUGGAACGGUUGGAAUGGUAGGAAGAGAUGGUUGUGGCAGUGUUGGGAUUGUAGGCAAAGUUGGAACAUUGGCCUGAGGCAAUGUUGGAAGUGAAGGCAAAGGUGGCAAUGUUGUUUUAGGCAAAUUUGGUGCAGUUGUUUGCAUAAGAUGGCGAGUUGCUUGGCUCAUGCUCAUGCUUGACAAGGUCAGAGCAAGAAGGAAAGCUGUGAUCAAUGAUUUGCUUGAGGCCAUAGCUCAAUGAAUUGCAAAAAUGAAGAAGAGGAAUUGGCAAAUAUGAAAAGGGUAUGUAUUUGCUUUGAGUAUUGGAUGAGAGGCUGAAGGAUAUAGUGCUUGGUCUUAUAUAGAGCUAGAGACUAGAGAGUCUGCAGUUCAACUUUGUUUGGAGAGCCAAAUACCAAUCUUUUUGUUAGUUCACCUUCCAGUAUUUGAAUAAAUAAUCAUUUUAUUAAGUUAGAAUAAUAUUGUGGUUGGUUGGCUAUUAUUAAAUGUAGGAUGACCAGUUCAUACAUUCAUAAAAUUACACAACGAUAAUUAAUUAAAGUGCAUGUUUGUUUAAAAUAUUUUUACUUGUUUUUUUGUUUCUGGGGAGAAUUGGGUUUGGAAAACGGGAAAUACCAAGAGUUGGUUUAUCUAACUCAGUUCAUCUGAUUCUCCGCUGCCAGAUGUCACCCUUACAGCCAAUGGUGUUUCUUAGUCACACAUUAGGCCAACGAGUAUUACUACCAUUUGAUGCUUUGACCGCCAAUCACCCAAAAAGUCCAGUUGACCACCAUAUAAUGGGUGAUUAUUUUCGUAAUUUUAUUAAUAUUCAUUACUGCACAGAAUACUCCUUAGUCCUUACAUAGCUUCAAAUACACGGUACAUCCUCUCGCAUCAAAAACAAAAAAUGCAUGUUACAUCCUCUUAAAGGCAUAGUCUAUCAACCCAGUGGUAGAAUUAAAAUGAUGUAAAAGUUUAUUCGUUUCUAUAUAUUUUUAAUGUUUUGAACGGAUAUUUCAUAUUUGUUACUACUAUCCAAAAAGUGUUUGCGAGCCUCAGAAUGAGGAAUCCCGAUAUAUCCAAAAUGGUUUGGGCCUCCCAACUUAUUCUAUCUUCCCAUUUAUCUAUUUCUUUAUCUCUAUAUUUAUACAUAUUGUUAAAUUAACUUAAGUUUAACAAAUUCAGUUAUUAAUUUUUUAAGAAGUUAAUUGGAAUAUGCUGAUUCCAUAUAAGAUGUUAUAUAUAUAUAUAUAUAUAUGUACAACUAAUUAUAAAUAUCUAUAUUGUUAAAAUUUAUUAUUUUUAAUAAUAAUUAUUUUAAUAAACAUACUUAGAAUAUUAUUUAAUUAGUUAACAAUGUAAUAUAUAUAUAUAUAUAUAAGAGAAGAAAUCAAAUUAAAAAGAUAUAAUUUUAACAAUUAUUAUAUUAUUUUUAUAAUUUAAUCAGUUUUAUAAUAAUAUAAUAAUUAUUAAAGAUACACUGAUAUAAAUUUAUUACCAUUCAAUCCUUUCGUAGUGACUCUUAAUGUUGGGUUACAAGUGUGAGGUGAAGUCUCACAUCAGGUAGAAGUAUCAUAUAAGUGAGGAGAAGACUCAUAAACCUGAGCCUUAAGGUUUUGGAUUAGAGUGUGGUGUCCGCAGGUGACCAGAAUGACUCGCGGACAGGACAAAUACCGCAGGUCAUACUCGUGGAUGAUAAAGACUUUCGCCCGAGGGGGAGACUACCAUAUGGAAGAGACUACCUAAUUCACCUCAAAACAAUCAUUCACAACUAUUGAUAAAAGAUUCUUAGUAAUCUUUUAGAAAUUUCAAAGUUGAAAUGAUUCAGUUUUAUACAUAUGCAAGGAAGUUAGUCAUCUGGAAUAAAAAAAAAAACUUAUUUUCUUUCUUUAAUGAGACAGAGGUUAGAAAUCUUUUUUUGACUUUGACUCUCUCACUCUAGUAGGUGCUUUUUACUUUAUUAUUUUGAAAGUAGCUAAUUUUUAGUUCCAAUCACUUGAGUUUUUCCAUAUAUAUUCCUUUUUUAUUUCUAAAAGAGUAUAUAAAAUCUGAAAGUAUACUUGAAGUAAGCAAUUUAAGACUUUAAAUAGAAGAUAAUUUGAAUACCACUAUACAAACAAAUUUUACCUGAAUAAAUUUUCACUUAAUAAAAGUUUAUUAUAUAAAUACGUCCUUUUAAUUAAGGUAUUUAUCCAGAUGUGUUCUAAGUACCCAUAUCAGAUACAUUUAACCUUUUGUUUAUAUCUUGUCAAUUUAUGUUACCCUUUGAAUAGAAAUAACUCGAUAGGAGGCUUAGCAACUUAGGAAAGCAGAGUGUAUUAUUUAUUAUAAUGUAUAUAUCCUACAACAAUAGAUGAUCUUCAAGUAUAUGAAGUAAGGAGGGGGAAGAAAAAACAAUAAUCUUAUGCAAACAAUACAAGAUCGAAGGAACGUACAAAGGAAAAUGAAAGAUUACAAUAAAUAUUCCCCGGCAAUAAAUGAACAACGUAUAAUAUAUCAUCAUCACAUGUCUACAUAAAAACAACACGAAAUGCAGCUAAUGAUCACUGAAAGCCAGAACCAAAAUCCAAGGAUGAGUGCCUAUAUAUCCAACAUAAGCAGGGUAUAGCUUCAUUUAGGGACUGGUGGAGGAAGGUGGUGGGGAGAAGAAAGGGAAGGAGGGGAUAGUGGUUGGGAUUGUGGGAAAGUUUGGAAGUGAAGUGGCAGCAAGUGGUGGAAGAGUCACCUGUGGGACAGUUGGAAUGUUAGGAAGAGAUGGUUGUGGCAGAGAUGGGAUAGUUGGCAAAGGUGGAACAUUACCCUGAGGCAGUGUUGGGAUUGUAGGCAAUGUUGGAAGUGAAGGCAAAGGUGGCAAUGUUGGUUUAGGCAAAUUUGGUACAGUUGUUUGCAUCAGAUAGCGAGCUGCUAGGCCAAUAUCCAUGCUUGAGAAGGAAAUAGCAAUGAAAAAACCCAAGAUGAAGCAGCUGUUGGAGGCCAUGUCAAAAGACUUAAUUUGCUUAAUUUGUGAUAACUGAUAAAUGAUAGAUAGUUUGCAAAGGCCAAAGGGACUUUUGCUUUGAGCUUAAUUAAUGUGUGCAUAUUCCAGAUGCUAGUGGCAGGCCUUUUAUACAAAAUUACUGCAACCCUUUGUGGCUAAGUCCCUUUGAGUUUUCUUAAUGGUUGCUAACCUUCCUUAGACUGCUCAAUACGUUGUUGGACUACCUUGUUGGUAGUGGUUGGAUAGUUUAAUUUUAAUCUUGGGGAUUCAAAGGUAGGACAACCAACUUUUUUUUUCUUUAGAAUAAUUUAUAAUAAAAGGGGGGAAAGUAGAUUUUUACUUGUGGGUUUACAAUGUAUUUGGUAUUCCAACUUUGAGAAUAGAAAGAAGAAAAAAAAGAGGAAUAUUGGAAUUUGUUUUUUGAGUUAUGAGUUGAUAUUAUUAAUGUCUAAAUACUCUUUUGUUCUUAAAACUUUCAUAAUUUUAUUAUAUUAUAUUAAUUAAUUUCUGAGUCUCCAAUUAUUUAAGUUCGCCACUUCACUUAAUAUUUUUUCUAAGAAAAUAAACUAUAGUUGUAUUUCAUUUGACCACUUCGCUUAAAUAAGUCGUGACAAUGAACUCGACUUUUAUAAAGGAAAAAAAAAACAACUACUGGACGACCAACACUCUUGAUCUAGCGUCAUGAAGAAGAGAACGAGAAAUAAUCUCUUAAUUGUUUCUCUUUUUGUGUGUGUUUUUAAAAGUCCUAUUUUGAAUAAAUUUUUAACGAGAAAUUAAUUACUAGUUAGAAACUAUUUAAAAAAAAUAACAUAUAAAAUUAUUUACAAUUUUAGGGUGUAAAAAAAACGCAACUCUGUUUAUUGUUUUACUAGUUGAGAGAGGAUGAAACAUUUGUUGUAUUGGAGGUUCAAACCCUCACGGCGAGUCCAGUGAGUAAUGAAUUAUGAAUCACAAGAAUAGAGUAAGGUAAUGUUUUCCCUUUGUGGACAACAAGAACGGCUUCUCAGUGGACCACUUAUGUAUGAAUGUUGCUGUAACUAAAGUUAUCAUGAUUUUAACCUCAAAUGGAGCCACAUGUGUAACAUGUUCUGCUCUGCAACACAGAGAGCGACAUUCGUUAACCAGAACUUAUUCAAGUAUGCGACAAAGAAAGAUCUGUUAAAUUCUAUGAAAUUUCGUGUUUUCAGUGAUAUAUAUAUAUAUAUAUAUAUAAUGGAUGAUUUAGCAUGUUUUGUGAUGGAUUAAAAAUCAUGUGUUUUUAAUUCCUCUUUGAAGGAUAGUCAAUAGAUUAAAAGUACUUUUAAAAAAUAAAAUAUAUAUAUAAAAUGACUAAUAAUAAAACUAAUAAGAAUUGAAAUUUAAAUCUUUAUACAAAUAACAUUCCUAUGAAUUAUACUGUAGCAGUUUAUCAGCACCUAUAUAAUCUUCUUAUUUGAGAUAAACAUUAUUGUUUUAAAUUCCAUUACCAACGGUUUAAAUAUCUUAAGAUGAAUGUAAUCUUCUCAAAAUAUUAUUCAUUAGAAGAAAUAAACAUCUGUCCUGAAAAGUCAUGCAAUUUGGACCUGAGAUGUAACCUUUUAAAGGUUUAACAAAUUUUGGUUGGGCCCAGAAAAAAAGGUUAUGUUAAUAUGUUAAAACUGUGCUUUUUCUAGGAAAAACAAUGAAAUCAUGAAAUAACUUGUCCUAUGUAUGGUGGAUUCUUAAAUCAGGGAUUAGAAUUAUCCCUCAUAUUGCUUUUCAGAGAAGCGACCUAUGCUGGGGAGGCUGAAAUUGCCAGAACGUUUUGAUUAAAACGCAUAUCCAACAUGUGGAACUGCUCUUUAAUUUGAACUUUGAAGUGUAACUGUUACUUUGGAUCCUUUUUUUUUAUUUUAUUUGUAGGAAUUGAAAAUGGUGUCAACAGAUUUACAACAAUUCACAUAUCUUUGUUCAAUCAAUUAAGCUAGAUCUCCUCGACUUCUUUGGAUCCUCUAAAGAUACUUGUAACACCAUCUCUGAGUCUUUUAUUUACUAAUAAUACACAAAAUUAUUCCUCUAAAAGUAUAAAUGACAUCAAAUUCGUCCUAUUUUUGGGGGUAAAAAAAUCGUCUUCAAGUAAUAUCAAGUUUAGUCCUUGAAAGACAAAACUGAUGGUAUUAGUUAAGGACCAAUUUGAUGUGUAUAUCUUUGAAGGAUCGAUAUGGACAUUUAAUUUUUAGUUGGAAUUUGGAAAGAAUAAUGACAGCUACAAGCCAUGAUGACGAUAGAUAUUUGAUAAUUCCAGCAUGCUCUGUAGAUGAUGAAUGAAUCCGGCUAAAGAGAAAAGACAUGGAGCUAAAUAGAAAAUAUGCCAUAGCUUAAUUAGGUCAUAUAGAAAUAAACUUCUUCUUCCUCCAUGAUGACAGUAUUCAGAAAUUCCAGAAUUUAUUGAACUAGAAGAUAAGUUGAUACAUUACAUUACACAGGUCACAAUAAAUAAUAUGCUGAAGUUCAACUGACUGAAGCAACAUAUAAACUGAACAUAGCAUGUAAUUGAAUGACAGAAAUUAAACCCCAACAGAACCAGAACCACCCUGGGAUGGCAACAACAAGUUAAUUUAGCAAGUGACAAAAUAAGUAGUAGUGACUGGAUAGAUCAUAGGUACUCAAGGGAUUAUUUUGGCGUUAUUAACUAUUACUUCAGGAAUUGGUACUUUAGGUACUGCAGGUAGUUCAGGCACUGGAGGGAGAGUAACAGGCAAAUUUGGCAGUGGUGCCACCAGUGGAAGAGGAACAACAGUAGGUAUAUCAACUUUGGAAGGCAAUAAGGCUGAUUUUGGCAGGGUACGUGCCUCUGCAACCCUUGAGUCAAUGAUCAUGGAUGAAAAGGUUACAAGCACAAGUACUAAAAUGAAUGAUAAUCUGCUAGAACCCAUUGUUGGAGCUAGCAAAUCAAUGACAAUAGCUUUCUUAAUCAAUAGUCUAUGCAAGUUAUGCUUGAGGUAGUGGCCUUGAGAUGUUAUAUGUGUGGGCUUUUAUAGACGACGUAGUAGUGAUUAUUGUGACACAUGGAUAGGUGCUGAGGAUAAGCUGUGCCAUGCAUGUAGUAUUUGGACUGGUGUUU